rnacentral:lncRNA from 1 species
UAUGUAAAAAAAAGUGAGGGUUAUACAACACAAUUUCUAGUCCAAACCCAGUUGAUUGUUAAUAUAUAUGUAAUGUUGGAGAAAUUUUUUUAAUGUAUUUGCAACUAUCUUAUACCCUUAAAACGCAAUUUGGAGUCACUUAAAAAGUGCAUGUAGAGUUACGAUCUUAUUAUCAAUAAGGCCAUGGUAAGUGACUACAUAUAUAUAUAUAUAUAGUAAUAGUUGAUUUUUGCUCAAAUUCCCAUGCUGGUUAGAGAGAAAAAAAAAAUCAAUUUGCGGUGUUCUGACAAUUUUGAAUACGUUAAAAUGUAAAAUAAGUCUUCUGAAAAUAAUUAAAAUGAAUUAAGUUUUUUUGUCGAAAAGUGCACUUAUUUGAGCUCUCUGAAUUAUGAUUAGUAUUCAAUUAAGCCCUUUGAAUUUAUCUUUCUGUUAAAGCUCCUGACGGCCGUCAAUUACUAACAUGGUAAAAAUACUAACGUCGCAAGCUGUUGUGGAAAAAUGAUGACGUGGAAUGUUUAAUUGAUAUUUUUUUAUUUUAUUUUAUGAAGGCUUAAUUGAUUUUCUUAUUAUUUUACGAGGGUUUAAUUGAUUGUGUAAGUAAAAGAAUUAUUAAAAUUCUAAAAAUAAAUCUAUUUUUUACACAUGAAUUAAAAAAUUCAUAAAAAGUUAUUAAAAAAUUAUUUAAAAAUAUAGAGAAUUUUUAAUAUUUUAUAAAAGCUUUUACUAUAAUAUAAAAAAAUAUUAUAAAAAAAUUAGAAAAUUUAUUGAAACAUCAUUAAAUAUUAUAAAUUAUUAUAAAAAUAGUAUAAUUUUUUAAAAUUAUUAAAAAUUAGAAAAACUACAAAUAGCUUAGAGAAAAUUAUUAAAAAUCAAUAGAAGUUUAUAAAAUAAAAGUUUAUAAAAAUUAUAGAAAAAUUUUGUUAUUUUGUUGGUAUGGAGUCUUUUGUUUUGGUGAUAAGGAAAUGGGGAAAUUGAAGUUUGAUGAUCAAACUUGUAUGGGGUGUCAAGUGAGAGGUUUAAGUGACGAAGAAUUCAGUGCUUGAUGGCUUAAGGUGAAUGUUGGGUAAAGGUGCUCAUGGAUCGAUCCGAUUUACAACAAUUAAAAAUGUGUAGAAAAUAAGUUUAUGUUAAUAUUUUUUUAUAUUUUAUAAUUAAAUUUAAAUAAAAAACAUUUUUAUUAUUUCUAAACCAGUGAAACGAAAUCAUUUUGGAGAGUUAAGUCUAGUUAGACUUGAGUCUAAUUUUUUUUUUUCUGAAAUCAGGCCUAAAUUCAACUAAUCCUAUGAACAUCUAAAUAUUUUAGUUGAUGAUAGAUUAUGCGAAGAAGUUGACAAGGAUAUAAGACGAUGCAUGCGAGAAAACAAACAUGUGUAGUAAUUUUUAAUUUUUAUAAAUUUUCUUUAUUUUUUAUAUUUUAUAUAGUAUUUGAAUAAAUAUAAUAUAUUUUUCUAAAAUUUUUAAUAACAUUUAAAUUGUUUCUAUAAUUUUUUUUUAUAAAUUUUGUAACAUUUUUCUAAAAAUUUUUAUAACAUUUAAAAAAUUUCUAUAUUUUUAAUAGUUUUUAUAAUUAUUUAUAAUUUUCUAAUAAUUUUUAAUGAAUUUUAUAAUUCAUGUUAAAAUUAGAUUUUUUUCAUAAUUUUAAUAAAGUUUUUACUGAAAUAAUCAAUUAAGCCCUCAUAAAAUAAUAAAAAAAUCAAUUAAGUCCUCCAUAUCAUCAUUUUGCCACGUUAGCUUGCCACAUCACCUGUUACAUCAACAGUUAACAACCUUUAAGGAUUUCAACGGAAAAAUAAAUUUAAGAGGCUUAAUUGGAUGCCAUUCAUGACUCAAAGGGUUCAAUUGGGCGCACUUAUUGAUGAGGGGUUUAAAUGAUUUUUUAAUUAUUUUCGAAGGAUUUAUUUGUCAUUUUAGCCUUUUGGGUUCAUAAUCUAAAAAAAUCAAUUAUCUUUUAUCUACUUAAAAAUUUAAUUAUUUUAAAAAUAUUUAUCAAUAAAAUUUUGAAACUUUACGAAAUAGUAUUUAAAACUCAUUUUUAUCAAAAUAAAGUCCAAAAUCUUAAAACCUAUAUCAACAUGAAAAAAAAAUUAAGAACCGAACCUAACCAAAUUACCAUAAACAAUUUAAAAAAACUUGAUAAAACCGAACCAAACUCGGCUUGGAAGGUUCCCCCUAAGGAUAAUUUCAAUGUUGACCUUAGAAUUAACGAUACUAAAUAUAUUUGUAGCUCUUUGAUUAGAGUGAGUCAACUAUGAAUCUUAAUGGUGUAAUCUUUGCCAUUUGCUGUCAUUGAUUCCUUGUUGGUUUCUUUUAUAGGCAAUAUCUCUCUGGCAACAUGUUUUAAGAGAAAAGGUUGGAAUCUACUUGUAUUUAUGUUUAUUAAGUACAAGACAACAACAUGAAUAUUUGGAAGUUUAUCUAUGUAUAGUACUUGCUUUAGGUUCCUAAUUCCUAUGUAAUUUAAUGAUAGCAUACCACAUACAUAGAUACAUGCACACAUGCAAAUCUUUAUAACAUGUUGGGGGCACUUCCCUUAUUAUAUAUAACUACCACAACACAUCGUCCUUAAUCCUGUUCUAUUUUCAUGUAAUCAAGAUAAGAUUUCCCCUGAAGCUUACGAGAGAACAUCCCUUUGUAGUAUUCUUCAACUUUCACCCUCCUAAACAUGGCAGACUUUUGUUUUGACACCAAGCUGGGUGCAGGCCCUAUUUCUCCCCCAGCCCCCACUCCGAUGAAUGUCGCAAACGAGAGCCUUUCCUUUUUUGGGUUCACUGUCGCACGAUGUUCAAUGCUACGGUACGUCCCGUUCGUUAAAAUCUGCCAUACAAAAUAUCAGUGAUGUUGUAAAGUUGGAAUACGAUGGUGCUAUAUAUAUAUAAUUAUUGAAUAAACUACAUUGAUAGUCACUCAACUAUUAGUAAAUUUUUUUUUUGUCAUUCAACUAUGACAAGUUACAAAAUUGUCACUCAACUAUUAAACUUUUUCUUUUAAAAUUGGCAUAAUAGCAACUUUAAUCCUCAAUAGUUAUACACUGUGCUAAUUUAAUCUUGAUUAAUUGAUUUUAAAAUAUUUAACCCUCAACAUUUAUACAUUGUGUAAUUUGGUUUCCUUUUUGCAUUUUUACUUUUCUUUGUGACAUUAAAGGUUACUUGUAAAAGAAUGAGAAAAGAUGAAAAAUAUUAUCUUGAAUUUUUGGGUAUUUCCAUUUUUUGGUAUAUUUUCAAUUAAAUUUAGUUAAUAAAUUUAUUUUUUAAUUUUUAGGUGAAAUUAUCACAUACAAAAGAAAAACUAAAAAAAAAAAACUUAGUACAUAAUAUGUAACGUUGAGGGUUAUUUUUUUAGACUCAAUUAUGACUAAAUUGACAUUAUGUAUAAAUGUUAAAGUUAAUAUUAUGCCAAUUUAAAAGUUAAACAGGGUGAAAAAAAAGGCAAAAUCAAAUAGUUAGGUAACAUUUUUGUAACUUUCCAUAAUUGAAUGAUAAAAAAAAAAACUUACCAAUAAUUGGGAAACUACUAGUUUACCCUUAAUUAUUCUACCUCUAAGAUGUCUCCAACGUUGAGAAUGAAGGCAUUUGGGAGUGGUUUAACGGGAACCCAAUUCCCAUCUUUCCUUACUUGAAGACCAUGGACAUCAUUGAGCUGAAGCAAAAUGGUUAUGAGAGUAGCAUCUGAGUGAGGAGUGAGGCCCAAGACCUGGUCAGAUAGAUGACAUGGUGGGUAAUAGUUAACCCUAAUUGUUUGCCUUCCCUCUCCGACGAGCUCCUUCAUUUCUUCGGUUUUCAUGCCAAUGGCUUCUACAAUCUUUUCUAGGAUUGCCGUUGAUAGCUUGUUUAACUCAGAUGUGUAAAGCUCCAUUAUAUCUCUACACCAAAAGCAUUAGAAUAAUUGGUUAGGUUAAAGCCAAUUAGCCUAAAUGUUUCACAAGAGUGUUGGUAUUACUUUUGAUAUAGUGAUAACCUGUAUAUUUUUUUGCGUGUGUUUGUGUACGUGGCAUACUUGUGUCUAAUAACAUUUUUAGUUCAUGAUAUUUAGAUUAUGAUGUGAUUUGAUGUUUUAGUUAUAAAUUGUGGGAGUGUUGUACCUCAAAGGAAGAGGGAGGUUGGGGAACAAGCGAGGGUUUCUAAGGUGGAGAGGAUGAGUGAGCAUGUUGAAGAGGUCACACCAAUCAAGCUUUUGACCUUCCGACACAACAAAAGCUUGUCCGAAUCCUUCUACAUUCCCAGGACAUUGCCACAGCUUUUUCUUCUCUUCCAUCGGAAGUUUGAACAACUCCUCCAAUUCCGCUUUCACUUUCUCCAGCAAUCUUAAGUUCACUCCAUGGUUCACUAGCUGCACCAUGAAUUUACAAAUUGUUAAAGUCCUAACCAAAUUCACACACACAUAUAUUUAUAUUUCGUUUUACGAAUCAUGAUCAGGGUUCACAACUAUCCCUUUCAACAAUACCGUCUUCAAAGUUUGAACAUAUGUUCUCUUUUUGGGAGUACAAUAUGUUUUACCACUACACCCAACACUUACUAGUAAAGAGUAAUCAAGCUGAGUCGAGCCCAAGUAUUGUCAAGCUCGAGCUCAAUCUCGAUCGAACAUCUAUUUUUAAGUUCAAGCUCGGCUCUAGAUAUAAUCGAGCUUGAUUAAGCUCGUUUACCAAUUUUUGUACCCAAGCUAGGCUCGAUAAUUAAGCUUAGGUUUAAUGAUAUAUAUUAAGGGAAAUAACAUAAUUUAAUAAUAGAAAAUUAUAAAAAGCUCAAUAAGACUUGCAAGUUAUUCGAGUCAAGUAUUACUAAGCUUGAAUUCAACUUGUCAAUAGCUCGAGUUCGGUUCUAUAAUUACUGGUCAAAUUUGAUUUUGUUUAAAUCAAACUCAAAUAAUUUCUAAGUAUCAAAGUCUCAUUUAUACCCUACUUAUAAGUUAAAGAAACUGUGUAAGGAUUUAAGUAUGUUAAAGAAACCUGGAAAAGCCUCAUUAUGUCAUGUUAAAGAAAUGGUAACAACCUAAUUAGUUACUAAACUUUUACAUGUUUCUGUUUCAAUUAGUCAACUAUGAAAAUUUGUAAUUUAAAUUAUUUCAAAUUCAUUUUUUAGUCAACACAAGAUGACAUUAUCGUUUAUUUUUUAGAUAAACUCAAUUAUUAGUGUUUCUGUUUUAGUCACUCGACUAUACAAAAUUAUUUUAAAUUAGAUUUUUUAAUCACCAUACUAUUAAGUUGAUAACGGAGGUUUGAUAUUAUCUUUUUUAUUGAUCUAAUAAUAAAUUUAGCCCUUUGAUAUUUAUACUUUUUAUCAAUUUAGUCAUAAUUCUUAAAAAAUCCAAUAAAUUUAGCCCUUAAUAUUUUCAAAAUUUGUUAAUUUAAUACUAAUUGUUGAUUUUUUUUUCUCUUGUUCCUAUUUUUAUGCUCUUAGCUAGUGCCAUUUAGUGUAGAAAACCUAAAGGUUUCCAGUUUCCUCUGCUAGAAAGAUCAUAAAUUGUUGACAAAUUUUUUUAACACUUCAGAUUAAACGGUGCUUCCUUGACAUUGAAAAACUUAAAAAAAAAUAAUUUUCGGUGCCAAAAAAGUCAUAACUUGUUGGAAAUUUUUUAUGUUAAAACAAUGGCUCUCCCAUGCGAAAAGAGAACUCAAAUCUUAUUAGCGUCAAAUACAAAAUAUUAUAUAUAUAUAUAUAUAUAUAUAGAUAGAUGUAAAACAUUUCUAGCACCAAAUACUAGUAAAAAUGCUUAGAGCUAUUUUUUUUUUUAGAAUUAGAACUAAAUUGAUAGAACAUAUAAAUAUUGAAGAGAUAAUUUUUUUUAUUCAAUAAAAAAAGGCCAUGUCGAAACUUCCGUUUUCAACUUAAUGGCAUGGUAACUAAAAAUUCUAAUUUUGAAUACUUUAUUGACCAAAUCCAAAAAAAAUUAUAGUUUGGUGACCAAAACAGAAACAUUCUCAUAAUUGAGUGAUCAUUCAUGUGAUUUAUCCAAAAAUUAAAUGGUCACAUCAUCCAAUCGUUUCAAACUUAACCACAAGAAAUGAUUGUAUGAAACUAUGAUUCCACGUCAUCCCUAUGCCUUUCUAAUAAGUGAAUGACAAAUCAUAUUUUUCCUCCUGAAUUUUAGCAUUUUUAGUUGGAUUUGAAUUUUUUCGGGAGAGAAAAGUUAAAAAUAAUGAGGAAAUAUCCGAUUUGUCAUUCACUUAUAGGAAAAGGAUAGGGAUGAUGUGGAAUCACAGUUUCAUACAAUCCAUUCUCCUUAACCACGCAGUUACUAAAAAAAUGAAUUCGAGUAACCUAGUAUUUAAAUUGAAAAUUUUCAUGAUCAAACUAGAAACACGGUUAAUUAGGUUAUUUACCCUAGAGAAAUAAUACAUAAAACAUUUUACCUGGAAGAAACCCCAUUCUUUACAAGCAAAAUCAAGCUUGUGGAUUUCGGAAUUCAUUGAUUCUUCAGAGACCAAUCUCUGCAUAUCAAUAACGGGGAUUUCCAACACCUGGUCGCCGCCGUGGGCAACCGCAUCUCCUUCAAGUUCAGGGCGGAGAUACCUGUCGGGAAUGGCGGAUAAAGGUUGUUUAGCCAGCUCUUGAACACUUGGCACCAGCACUGAACUUCCCACAUUGGAUGCUUUUGAAUUCCUUUCCAUGUUUUUCUUCAACUCUUGAAAUUAAAUAUAAACUGAGUUUCGCUAUACUUCCUAAUUUAUAGUACACAAUUGAUGAUUAUUGUCAAUUUAUUAAUCGUAUAUUUCUAAUUUAUUUUUUAUCUGAUAAUUAAAUACGAGUAUAGAAAUAAUUUUGUAUAGAUUGAGUGUAUAGUCGUAUUGCCACAUCUCUAGGUUUUUAAUGGUUUGCUAAUUAAAUACUCUUUCAUGUGCCAUACAUUGCUGUUAAUGGUCGUUUGAGAAAAUAAAAAACCUACUCUUUUUUUUCGGAAAAAAUAUUAAUAAUGGACCAAUUAUUAAUAUUAUUAAAAUAUUUUAACAAAUUAUUGUUGUGGUAUUUUAAAAUUUAAAAAAAUCACUUUUUAAUCAAAGUGAAACGUUGUAAUGCAUUAAAUUUAAUAGAAGAGCUUUAAGAUGUUAAUAAUUAAAUUUAAAAAAUUUAAAAAAAACCUAAAAUUAACUUCAAAAGUCAAAUCUCAUUUUUUAUUAAAAAAAUAACCUUGACUUUUGGUGCUUUGCUACGAUGAGAAUGAAAUGUAAAUUUUUAAAGCCAACUUGACCAUUUAUUUUAAGGGUCAUAUUCCACAUGAAUAUAUUUAAAAAUCUUCAUAUAUUCAAAUUAUAUUAAAUAUACAUGAAAUGAAAAUAUUAAAUAUAUUUUCAUGAGAAAUUUUAUGGGUAGUUUUUUUAUAAUUCAGCUUAUAAUACUCUAUCUCAGUAAGAUUUUCUAACAAUUGACUUUCGAAGUUUUAAUAGGUGAAGAUUCAAUUUCCACUAUGAGUAAAGAUAGAGACAUCCAUGUCCAUGUCCCUAUAGUGUGUGGCCGUGCACCUAUGUACAAUUUGAUGUCUCAAGGUGCUUUCCUUCUAUGAACUUUUCAAGGCUUUAGAAGGAGAUGACAUGACUCAUGAUAAUACCACCAUUUUGGAAGAUUCGAUCAACAAUUCAGUAGACGACACUUUAAAAUUUUUUUUAAAAGAAAUUGUAAAUUCCAUCAACAAAAAUAAUUAAAAAUUCAUUAAAAAUUAUCUCCACAUUUAUAUAAAUAAUAUAUAAAAUCAAACUCUUGACGAAUGUUUAAAAAUUAAUAACGUUGGAAAGUCAACAAAUUGAGAAGGAUUGACUAGACAUUUUAAUUUAGUAAAAUUUGACAAUAUUUAAGCUUCAUUUUGAUUUUAUUUAAAUUAAAUAUUGUCAAAAUUUUGAAUAUUAAUUUAUUCUCCUCAAAAUUUUUAUUUUUAUUUUUUUUAAUAGAUUAGAACACUUUACAUCAAGUUAAAAAAAAGCAAAAGGUGAAGUUACAUACAAGUGUAAAAUUUUUUCUUUCUCAAAAGCCAAUUUGGCAAUGCAAUCAGCUUCAACAUUUUAUUAUUUGAGAACAUGUUCAACUGAUCAAUUCUUUACAUUCUUCAAAAGUUGAGCUAUGCGUUUGAUUAUUAUUAAAUUUGAACACUUCGACAAAGAUUUCUUGAUAGCUCCAAUAACUUCCAUGUUGUCCGUCUGAAUCAAUAUCUUAUCAAAUUAUCUUCUUUGCACCAACAACAUGCCAUCAAGAAUGCCUCAUAAUUCAAUUUCAAAAACUGAACAUUAAUUCUCCAAUCUAUUUAAUCUUAUCUUUAGAAAACUGAAUUUUUUUUUUAAAUUUCUUCAUCAAGUUUACUUUAUCUUUUAUUUCUAAACUGUUCCGUAUUGAAGUUUCAAAAGUUUUAAUUAAAUUUCUUCCGUUGAAAAAUUAAUGUAUAAAUAUUUUAUUUUCAUAAUUUUUUUUUUUGGGUGUGGUGAAGAAUGAUGCUAAAUUAGGAUUGAAUUGAAGUUUUAGAAUCCAUAGGCAUUUAGGUAUUUACGUAUGAUUGUGGGUUAAAAGUAAUCAUUUUUUAAGGUGAUCCUUUUUGAAGCAAUUAUGUUAUUUUAAAAAAAUAGUUAGGUUUUUUUUUUUUGGGUAUAUAUGAGAGUGGAAUUAUUUAACAAGUUAUAUCAAAAUAGCCAAUUAUUUAUUAAAAUAGAUGUUUUUCUAUAGCACCUUGAUAUUUUUAUGGGAGCCUUAGAGUAAAUAGGAUCUUCUUCUUCUUUUUAUCUUUUUUACUUUUUUAUUAUUAAUAUUUUUUUUAUCUUUUUUACUUUGAUGGUGAAGUUUACAAAACAAAAUCAAGCAAGUUUUAUUGUGGGAGGAACAUCCCUGAUAAUAUUAUUGUUGCACAGGAGGUAAUUCAUUCCAUGGAAGGUUUCAAAGGAUGAAAAUAUGGGAUGACUUUGAAAAUUGACUUGGAGAAGGCGUAUGAUAGAGUUAGAUGAGAUUUUUUAGAGGACACCCUAUCGGAAGCAGGAUUACCAUGUUUAUAGGUUUCAGUGAUUCUGAACGGUAUAUAAUCAGCCUCACUCUAGGUCCUUUAGAAUGGUGAUGUCACGAAAGCUUUUAGGUUGUCAUGCGGAAUAAGACAAGGAGACCCUCUUUCGUCAUUUUUGUUUGUACUUUGUAUGGAGAAAUUGGGACACCUAAUUGAGAAGACAAUCAAUCGUGGGAGUUGGUCUCCGAUUUUCCUGUCAAGAAAGGGCUUAGCUUUAUAUCAUUUAUUUUUCGCAGACGAUCUUAUCCUUUUCUAUGAAACCAAUAGGAAUCAAGUAGCUCAAGUUAAUGAUAUUCUUCGCAUAUUCUGUCAUUUUUCGAGCAAAAACGUGAAUAGAGGAAAGUCACAGAUAUUUUCUCUCCCAAUACACUAAUUAGUUUAGCAGAUGCAAUUUGUAGAGAUAUUGGUUUCAUGCAUGUGGAUGAUCUUGGUAAUUAUCUUGGCAUGCCAUUGUUUCACAAAAGAGUCACGACUAAUAUUGUAACAGUCCGUUUUUCAGUGGUGUCAAAAAUAGUAAUUUUGGGGCCACCAAAUCCUAAGAGUAAGUUCAUAAAUAUUAUUAUUUAAUAUUUACAAGUUGAAUAUAGUUUUAAAAAUGUUUUUUAUGGUAAUUUAUGUGAUAUAAAUGAUUAAUUAAGUUCAAGUGGUAAGACCCUGGUCGAGUGGUUUUAGAAAAUGAGGUAUCGGGACCUCAUUUCUAUAAACCAAGCCGUAAAUAUUUUUAUAAAUAUUUAAAAAGUGUCAUUAAGGUGGUAUUAAAGUUUAGUUAAUAAAUUUUAAUGUUUUGAUAGUUAAUUAAUUAAAAAGGACUAAAUUGUAAAAGAUGUAAAAUUUGAUCACUAUUUGAUUUAAGUGAUUAAAUGGUUAAUUGAAUAGAGGAAAAGAGACUUAAAUGGUAAUUAGACCAUUAUGAAAAUUGGUGGACGUUAGUGGGCUUAUAAAUUGUUAAGGUUUGAUUAUUAUUAUAAGGGUAAAAUAGUAAAUUAUUAAAUAUGUAUAUUAUAAUAAAAAUGAUAAAAAUUCAUUAUCAUCUUCUUCAAUUUGAAAGCCACCACCAAAACCCUAAAGGAGAAGAAACCAUUCGGCCAACUUUGGUUUGAUGAUUUGGUAAGCAAACUUUGUCUGUUUUUAAUAAUUUUUAUGUUUUUGAGAUCGUUGCAACUAGGUCCAGCUAGCCCGUACCUUCGGUUUUGAAACUGUUAAAGAUUUUGAAUGUUGAAAUUGAUGAACCUUGUGAUUUUAGAGGUUAAAUGAUGAAUUUGAUAUAUUAUUUAUUAUUUUAAAGUAUUUUAUUAAGUGAAUUUUGAUGAAUUUUUUGAUUAGGGACUAAAUUGUUGAAAUAGUAAAAGUACAAGGAUUUGAUGUGAAAUUAUUGCAAUAAUGGGAUGUAUCUGAUACCAUAAGUAUUCGGCUAGGCUCAAUUUUAGGUAAAAAUGGUUAACUUGCAAGUUUUAGGCUUAAUGACUAAAUUGAAUAAAAGUAAAACUUUAGGGGUAAUUUUGUAAAAAUAUAAAAUAACUAAAUUGCAUAAAAUACAUUGUUUUACUAUCUAAAUUAAUAUAUUGAAUGAAAUUAUUAAUUUAGAUCAAGAUCGAGUGAAAAAUUGAGGAGAAUAGAAAAUUACCAAAAAGCCCUUGUACUUUGACAUUUUUGCAGUUUAGCCAGGUAAGCUCAUAGGUAUAGAAUUGUACAUACCUAUAAAUAUAAAUAAUGUUAACGUUGAUUCAUGAAUGUAUAUACUUACAUAUAUGAUGUUUAAAAUGUGAGUUGAAACUCGAAAUAUUGUAACUGAACAUAAGGUGAGAAAGGAUUUAUUAGAAAACUAUUGAAUAUUUAUGAGAUAUGAUAUAUAUGCGAUUUCAGCAUGAUUAUGAAUUGUUAUAGCAUGUGUAUCGAGAAAUAUGAAAGUGAUUAAUAGAUGAUGUUAAUCAUUGUGAUGGCACAUUGACAGUAUGAAUAUAUGUAUUGAUAUUAUAUCAUGUGUACAGAAACAAUGAAGUGCCCUUGAAUGAUAAAUAUGUUUAAAGGAAAUGGAUUACAUGAAAUGCCCUGUUGAACGUAGUAAUUGCUAGGAUACGAUUGGCGUGCCAAUAGGGUUAGAAUGCACGCUUGUAUAGGAUUUGCACUUCGGUGCCCCUGUAUACACUUCAGUGUCUCUAUUCACACUACAAUGCCCUUGUUUGCACAUUUGUGCGCCUCUCUGCACUUUAGUGCCCCUGUUAUGCAUCUAUAAUGCCUUUGGUGUGGUGUAGUUACCCGAGUAUCCGAGUCAAGUUACUAGUUCGUCAGGCUAAUAGUGAAUGUAAUUUAUAAAAUUAUUUUAAUGUUAAAGGCUAAUGUAUAGUCAAGAUAUUAGUAAAUGUUAAAUGUUAAAUGUUCAAUGUUCAAUGAAUUACUUAAUCAUAUGUGAGUAUCGUUAAAUAGAAGUUAAAUGUGAAAGAGUUAUGUUAAAAUGCACUAGCUUGUGGUUAUGGUUGGUGUUUAUGCUUAUGUUUCGUGAGUUUUGCAAAGGAAAUGGGUGAGAAUAGAUGUUGAAAUGAUAAGUUCAUAGAUGUAACGAAAUAUGAUGAAAUAAAAAGAAUUGUUGAGUUAAAGGACUUACUUGUAAGGAAGGAAUUUAGUUAUGUUGUGAAUAGAUGCUCUGAUUCGCGAAUUGAUAACGUAAUUAAGCUUAUGCUAAGUAAAUGGAAUGGUAAGUAAGUAAAUGAAAUGAUUCAUUGUUUUAAGAAAAGGUUGAUGGUUAUGUAAUUCGGCUUAUAAUACAUUAUUAUGUUAUAAAUGGAAAGUAUUCGGGAUGUUAAUGAACAUAUUCAUUUGUGAUAUGAUAGUUAUAUAGUUUGAUAAAUCUUGAAGCAUUGGUAUAGGUUUAUUUAUGAAUUAUAAAGUUCAUAUUUAAAAUGAAAUAUUAUGUUUAAGUUUAUACGAGCUUACUAAGUAUACUUUGCUUUUGUGGUUGUCUUUCUCCUACUUUACAGAUUAUUGGAAGCUCAAUCGAGUUGGAAGCUAGUCAGAGAUCUAUCACACUAUCCAUCGACUAUAUCGGUAGAUUUUCAUGAUUUUGAGCCAUGGUUAUAAUGGCAUGUAUAGUUGUCUUUGUUUGAUGAAAUUAGCCAUUAUGUUUGGCUUGUAAAUAUGCUAUUUUAAGUGAUGAAAUAGUUGCUAUGUUGACAUGUAUGUAUGAUACUUUAAUGGUUGUUAGGUUGGUAUCUAAGUACUUAAAUGAUGGUAGUUGAAAUGAUGAAUAUAAAGGUAUGUUAUGAAAUGUUGGUUUGGUAUGGAAUGAGAUAGUGCAUUGAGUUGUUAAAUGGUUAGUUUUGGUUGUGGUUGGCAUAUGGCUAAGUUGUUAAGGUAUUGAUUGAGUUGUGUGGAUGGUCAUAUUGGUGGUUAGGAGUACGAAAAUGAUAUGUGAACAUUAUGGUAAAUGUAGUAUAUAAGUUGUUCAAUUGGUUAAUUGAUUUAUGGCUAAAUUUAGUAAAUGUUUAGUCAAAUUUGAUUGUUGUGUUUGAGGUGCCUUUAAGGCAUAUUGGUUGUAUGGCUAAGUACUAUGAUGUUCUAGCAUGCUUAUGCAUGUUUUAGGUGUAUCUUGAAUGCAUGAAAAUAGGUGUUUUUGGUUGGUGUAAGUAACUAGGCUUUGGGUGAGAAAAAUGGCUUAGAAAUGGCUUAUUUAUCGUCCACACAGCCAAAGACACAGGCGUGUGUCUCAGCCGUGUGUGACAUAUAGCCAUGCGACAUGGCUGUGUGUCCCAUGUAGAUUACAAAGUGUUGCAAGUCAGGCGGUUACACUGCCUAGCACACGGCCAGGCACACAAGCGUGUGAGGCCAUUUCGAGGGGUACACGGCUUGGCACACGGGCGUGUGGCUUGGCCGUGUGACCCAAAUCAGAGAGUUACACGGGCACGGACACGGUCUAGGAACGGCCGUGUGUCUUUUUUUUUGAAUACCCACACAACUUGAGACACGAGCGUGUGUCUUAGUCGUGUGACCCUUGUAGUAUGAAAUUUUUAAACUUUUUCCCAAAAAUUCUAUAUAUUUCCGAUUUAGUCCCUAUUCAUUUCUAAGGUGAUUUUUGGGCCUCGAGGACUCAUAUAAGGGACUAUAUGUUUGAGUUUGGAUAAUUUUACUAUGAUUUAUGUUAUGUUUUGAAUUUGUUGAAUAUUUGUUCAUUGUGAUAUGUAAACUUCUGGUAUUGCUCCGUAGCUCUAUUCCGAUAGUGGAUACAGCUAGGAGUGUUACAAAUACUUUUGAUUUCGUGGUUAGAAAAGUUCGAAAUAAGUUGAAUGGGUGGGAAGGAAGGAAGCUAUCUUUGGCUGGAAUAAUUUCGUUGGUAAAAUCUGUAUUGCUUGCUAUUCCUAACUGUUUCAUAAGCACAAUUCGAAUUCUUGUUUCUAUAAGUCGUGAAAUUGAAAAUUUAGCUCGUAAUUUCAUAUGGGGAAUGACAUUGGGGUCCAAGAAACCAAAAUUAGUGUCUUGGGGGGAUUGUUGUUGACCCUUCGAGUCUGAGGGUCUUGGACUCAGAAGCCUUGUUGAUCAGAACAUAAUUUUUUUUUGUUUGGGUUUCCAAAUUCCCACUAAUACGGAAGCUUUGUGGGUGUAAUUAUUGAGAAACAAGUAUAGUGUACAACUGGUGUUACCAAAGCCAUAGCAAAGAGUAAUUGCUCUUAUAUUUGGAGAUCUUUGAUGAAGGUAUGGUCGGAUGUGAUUGCCAAUGUUUUCUGGUAUUUAGGGGACGAUUGACUUACAGAAUUUUGGAAUGAUGUGUGGGUUUGUCAAGUUGGUCAACUUAGGGGCUUUUGCAUAGGUAUUGGGCAGCCAGAUAAUACUUUACGUGUUUGUAGCUUGGUGAAUAGUAAUAGGGGUUGGGAUUGGCCUCAGUUACACAAUUUGCUUCCUAAUAGUGUCGUUAAGCUCAUUGUAGUAUGGUUCCAUCAUCCACUGAUGCAAGAUUGGAUAGGUUAGCUUGGAAGUGGAUGUCUAAAGAUAACUUUUCUAAUGCUGAAAUGUAUAGGAGUAUGUAUCAACAUGUUCAUGGUGAAGGCUUUAAUUGCUAGAAGUUAAUAUGGAAAGCUAAAGCGCCUCAACGAGUGUGUCUUUCUCUAGGCAUUUUGGCAGGAUAGGCUACUGAUGAAUGGUGAAAGACAUAUGAUUAAUGAGGGACACUGCCCUAGAUGCGAUGAGGUGUUAGAGUUAGGACUCCAUGCUAUUAGGGAUUGUCCUUUCUCAAGAACGGUAUGGCAGUUAGUGGUGCCAAAACAUGUUUAGAGUGCGUUAUUUUCCUUGUCGCUUAGUGACUGGUUGCUAUGGAACUUAAUGAGUUCAAGGAGAUAGAGGUUUAAGGAAUUUGAAUGGCAAUCCCUUUUCUCCAUGUUAUGUUGGUUGCUAUGGAAGAAUCAUAAUAUUUAUGUUUUUGCUAAUAGUAAUAACUAUGUACAAGGACUUGUAGAUAUAAGUAUUAUUUGGGCAAGGAGCUAUGCAAAAUUGGAUUCAAUCUGGCCUCAACCAAAUCUUAUGGUGUCAGCUAUAUGGUGGUCACCACCGGAAAAAGGGUGAGUUAAACUCAACACGGAUGGAGCUAUGUCGUACAUUAGAAAUUAUGCUUAGGUGGGAGGCAUGUUUAGAGAUGUUAAUGUGAGAUGGUUGUGUGGUUUUGAAUGCCAGUUGAUAGAGAAACAAAUUUUCAAGUUGAAGCGCGUGCCAUGCUUGAAGGAUUGCUCAUAGCAUGAGAGAAGGGAUUCAGGCAAUUAGAACUAGAAUGCAAUAACACGCUUCUAGUGGAGACUCAGCUAGCUGUGUAACAGCCCGAUUUUGGGUCUAGAUGGAGCAGUGAUUUCGGGACCACAAAUCCGACAAGGAAAAAUUUAUUUUAAAAUUAUGACAUGGGUUGCAUUAUGAUAGGAAGGUUGCAUAAAAAUACUGAUAUGAAAAUUUUAUCGAUUUAGUGAUUAAUUAAGGAAAUGACCUAUUUGUAUAAAAUGUAGAAUUUGAAUUCUAGAAGCUAGAAGGGUUAAUUAGCUAUGAAAUUGUAAUACCCCGAAAAUUACUACAGUAAGAAAGUAAGAUAAUAUCCCUGAUAUGGUGAAAUAAGGAAAUAAAGUGAUAAAAAGGGUAAUUGAGUUAUGUCAACAUUGGAAAGUAUAUUAUGACAUAUUAAUUCAAGAAAGGAUUAAAUUGCAAAAGUGAGAAAAGUUUUGUUACCCAAGAGUAAAUACUCAAAAUUUGAGGGGUUAAAGUGUAAAUAUGAAAAAUUUGAAGGACCAAUAGUGUAAAUAUUUUAAGGGUGGAAUAAUCUAGAAACUAAGGAAGAUGGAUGAAUUGGGACCAAAUUGAAAAGAUGAAGAAUUAUGAGGGACUAAAUUGUAAUUUUACCAAAUUAAGUGAUGACUCAAGGAUGAAAUUUUAAAAGAUCUAAAGGGCAAAAUGGUCAAUUAGAAGAAAGAGAAAUCUAGAAAAUAAUGAUGAUGUUGGAGAUAUUUUAGAUUAAAUAAAUAAAUAUUAGUUUAUUAAUAUUUUAAUUUGAUUUUUAAAUGAUAUUUUAUUAUUUUAUUUAGUGUAUAUAUAUGGAAGAAAAGAUGAAGAAUCAUCAUCUUCUUCCCCAUGCAACUAACGUAUGAAGAGAAAAGAAAGAGAGAAACUUUCUUUUCUUUACAAUUUGGUCCUUUUACCAAAAAUUCACCAUUUUCACUUAGAAAUCAAAAGAAUUUCCAUAUUCAUCAAGAGAGAAAGAUAACAAGGAGACUAUGGGGAGCUAGAAUAUCAAGUUAGAUUCAAGAAAUAGAAGUUGGAGGAGGGAGAAAAUCAAGUUAAAGAUUGAAAUCAAUGGCAUAAGGUAAGAACAUCAAGAUUUUUAUAUACUUUUGAGUUUGAUAUUAUUGAAAAAGUAGGAAAUUAAUGUUAAGGUAGAGUUUCAUUAUAUAAGGUUCUAUAUUCUUGUUAUGUUAGUAAAGGGAAAUAAGAGAAAGUGAUGGAAAAUAUUGAAGAGAAAGGAAAUGAAAGUGUUAUAAAUUUAGUUAUCAACAUUUUACACUAAAACAGUUUUGAGACAGCAGCAGUAGUCUGAUUUUGAAAAUCUAUCAAAAAUCGUAUAAAUGGAAUUAGAGGAUAAAAAAAAUAUUAAAUUAAAGCUUAUUGAAUCUAGUUUCUCAUAAAAGAAACGGUGUAAGUAAUGAAAUUGUAAAUUAUGAGAUAUAAUAGGUUUUGUGAGAUAAGGUCAGAAUGAUUUCGGGUUCCCCUAUACUGACUUUGGAAAAUAAUAAAAAAUUGGAGAAAAAUAAUUAGAGACUUAAAUUUAUAUUUUUAAAUACUUAAUUAGUCUAUUUUCAAUAUAAACAAAUGGUAACAUCAUUAGAAUUCUGUACGAGGAGAUAAUUAAUUUUUAGUGAAGAAGGGUCGGAACUGUCAGACAGCAGAACAGGGAUGAUUUUAAAGAAUAAACUGUACUUAUUCGAUAAACCAAAAAUUCUGAAAAUUUUAUGGUAAGAAGAUAUUUUAGUCUAGUUUCAGAUAAAAUUAACGGAUCUUAAUUUGGAGUCUUUUAGCUCAAGAUAUAAAUAAUUUAGUGACUAUGACUCAAGUGGACAGCUUUGAAUGAAUAUAUAAGUAAAUGGUGAAAUUAUAGAUAAUGUUACCUAUAAGCAUGUUAUAUACAUUAAGGAUGUGGAAUGGAGAGGAGGAGGAGGAAAAUAUAUGAUUAUUCAACUAGCACUAGUUUUCAUUAAAAAUGACCAAUUUACAUGUUUUAGGUUCAGGGACUAAAUUGAACAAAUGUGAAACUUUAAGGGUAAAUUUGUAAAAAUAUCAAAAAGUAACUAAAUUGCAUGAAAUGAAUUGUUUUAUUAUUUAAAUUAGUAAAUUGAAUGAAAUAUUAAUUUAGAUCAAGAUUGGGUGGAAAUUCGAGAAAAUAGAAAAUUACCAAAAUGUCCCUAAAUUUUGGUAUUUCUACAAUUUAGCCUGGUAAGUUCGUAUGAACUAUAUUCUGUAUAAUUUUAAUUAAAGUGAAUGUUAUUUGAUGAUUAAUAUUAUAUAGAUAUGUGUUUUAUUAUUGAAAUUGAAUUAUUAUUGGUAAUAUGUACAAUUAUUAGAUGCAGUGAGAUGAUUAUCGGAAGCUCGAUUGUGGUUGGUAGGAAAUGUUGCAUUAUUUAUAUUGUGAAGAAUUAUAAAAGCAUGUUAAUAAUUUGAAAAUUUUAAUAAUUAAUGGAAUUUUAUAACUUGAUUCAAUACGUUUACAAGUGUAUGUGUUCUGGUAAUGCCUCGUACCCUAUUCCGGUGUCGAAUAUGGGUAAGGGGAGUUACAAGCUGGUGGAGCUGGCAAUAGUAAUUUGAUGGAGCUACAUUUAAUUAAUUGCCUUUUCAGAUGAAAUUGGAAGAUAAGACUUUGUCAUAUUCCAAGGUCUCAAAAUGCAGUUGUUAAUCAAAUGGCCAAGUACGUGAAUAAUGGUACACCGAAUUUAUUGUUAUUUGUGGAUCCACCAAGUUCAGUACAAGGGGUUUUGCCGUUCAAGAGUAAUGCAUUUACACGAGUUUGAUUGUUUCAAUGUAACUGCUUAAUGUUGUUCCUUUCUACCAAAAAAAAAAAAUCUAGAUGGGAUAAGAAAUCAAUGACGUUCAAGAACUCAUAAAUUAUAGACUAUAUUAAAAUAUACAAAUUAAAUAUUUAAUUACUAAAUUUUAUAAAGACUUCUUUUCAUUACUAAUAAAACAUUAAUCAAUUAUACUUGCAUUUUAAAUAUGGAUAGGAUAAAAAAAUCAAUGAGGUUCAAAAAAUAAUAGAUUAUAAACCAUAUUAAAAUAUAUAAAUAAUUAUCUACUUAUUAAGUUUUACAUAUACAAUUUUUUUUUUCUUUUACUAAUAAAUCAAUUAUACUUACAUUACGUUUUAAAAUCUUUAAUUACCUGAUUAAUUAACAAAUCCAAUGGCAAUAACAAUUAUCUUAUAAAUGUAAUCUCAAUUUGUAUACAUUAAAUUAUAAUUAAUUAUAAAACUCUAAUUAAAAUAAAUUAAAAAGUUCAUAAAUUUUCUAUAUAAAUGGAAGUAACAACACGUAUAGCUCCCUCUCACAAAAAUCUGCAGGCAUAAAUUCAACAAUUACUAACCUUAUACUCUUUUUUGGAUUGUUUUUCUUACUUUCUGCGAAAGUGAAUUUUAAUGUUUAUGGGUGAGGUCGGGUUAGAUUUGGAUCGGAUCGGACUCAUACUAGGUAUUUAAAUUAAUUUUUUAAGUUCAGGUCCAGCCCACUCUAAAAAAUAGAUUUACUUUUUUUGUCCAAGCUUGAUCCAAUUUAUGAAAAGUAAACUCGGGUUCGACUCGACUAACUCAUACUUGAUUUUUUUUAAAUUAAUUUUUUUUUAAAAAUGUAAUACACUAAAUGCAUUAAGAAAAUAUUAAAAUAAAAAUUUUCUAAAAAUUUAAAAAUACAUUAAAAAGUAUUUUUAUUAAAAAAAUAACUAUAAUAAAUAUUUUAUUGCAUUAAAUAUAAUUUUUAAAACUUUAUAUUUUGGGUUGAGUUAUUUAGUUGGGUAAAUUUUUUUUAGAUUUUGAGUAAUAAAUUUAAUUGUUAUUAGAUUAAUUAUUUAAUAUAAAUAAAUAAAAUUAUUAUUUAACAUGUAUAAUUAAUAUAAUAUUAUUUUAUAACAUAAUAUAUUCGGACGAGGCCGGUCAAGCUCAGGCCAAAAGAUUUGCCCAAAGCCAGCCUAUAUAGAAAAUGAGCCUUAAAUUUUAUACAAGUCUAUUUUUCCAGCCUCGUAUUUUUUCUAAACCCUCACAAUUUCGAACGGAUAUUUAGACCAGGAUGGUAACCCAACCAAUAAGCAGUUCUAAUCAUAUCAUUUUUCAAGUCAUUAUUACUGUUGUUAACUCUCUUUUUUUUUUUUGUCUGUCUUAAUUUCUUUUUCAAAAUUAUAUUUUAUGAUUUUCAAUUUUCAUUUAUAUAUAGCAACUUUUAUGAGACUUAUGAGAGUAAAUAGGAUCAAAAUGGAUUAUGAUAAAUUUUUUACUUUAUUUUAAUUUAUAUAUUUUGAUUUUGAUUUGAUUGUGUUAUAAAUAUUAAUUACAUUUAUAGAUUUUGUUAAUUGCCUUCGAGUGUUUUUUAACUUUGUUUUUUUUGGAAGUUAUACUUUGUGAUUUUUUGAAUUAAUUGUGUUUUAAAUAAUUUUUUUGUAAUUAAAAUUAUUUUUUUAACAACAUUUUACUAUCUUCUAUAAGUUACAUUUUCUAGAUUUCAAAUUUUUAUGGAAUUUACAAUUUUUUUGCUGAAUAUAUAGAUUUAAUUGGGUUUGUAUGAAUAUAUAGAUUCAGGUAUUUUUUAAAAGGAUAUUGGAAUAUGAGUAUUUAUAAAAUUUUAUUAUAAUACAUUAAAUUAAUAAUUUUAUUUUAAGUGUUACCAUAUUUAAUUAAAAUUAAAAUCCAUUUAAUUAUAACAAGUUACAAUUCAAUGUUUUAAUGUACAUUUAGUACUUUUUUUAACUAAAGCUUUUUUUUUUUAUAGCAAUUUCAAUUUAUUGUCUGAAACGUAUAAAUAAAGAUUUAAUUAAUAAGUUUCAUGUAGAUUUUUUUUUCCAUUACUAAUAAAACAUGAAUCAUGUACCAAAAGAAAAAUUAAUCAAUUAUACUUACACUUUAAAUAUAAAUAGAUAAGAAAUCAAUGAGGUUCAAGAAAUUAUAAAUUAUAAAUAAUAUUGAAAUAUAUAAAUAAAUAUUUAAAAACUAAGCUUUACAAACACUUUUUUUUUUCUUUACUAUAAAACAUUAGUACUUUUCCUUUUAUCAUUAAUUAUAAACUUUUUAAUGGUAGACUAUAUAUAAAUAAAUCUACAAAUUUUGGCAGAGGAUAGUAAUAAUAACAAAAUUUAACCAAACAAGUCAAGAUUGAAAUUUCAAAAUUUAAAAACAACAAGGACUAAAUUUGACUAAUUUGAAAAGUAUAAAAACUAAACUUGAAUAAAUUGAAGUAUAGGGAUUAAAUCCACAACUCAAAAGUACAGGAACUUAUAGCAGAAUUUGACCCCUCUGAAAUAUAGGGAAGUUUGCAUUGCAUAUCCAAGCCCUGCCUCUUCCUGUUCUGGAUACAGGAGAUAUCCAAUGUCUCUAAAAGAGACGAUGGCUAACCAUAGAUACAAAUCUGCAUCUAUCAAUGUUUCCUCUAAGAAUAUCGAAAUAUAUAUAUAGAUAUAUAGAUAUAUCAUUAUCACUCCUGGUUCUGCUUUGGCACAUCGCGUCGCCAAAUUCCGGCCAAUAUACUACCAAAAAUUGAGUGGCAUACACUGGACACCGCACAUGGUACUGCCGUCAGUGGAUUUUGGAAGUGAUGAGUAGCAAGAAAAACUCCGAGAACCGAGUUCUGAAACAUCAAUGAGUUGAAUUAAGGAUCAAGCAAAUGAAUAGAACACCGACAAAUCAUCCACAACAUGCUACCACACUAUUAUUUUUCAUGUUAAACAACUAGGAUCAUUGUUUUAAAUGUUCUAACAAUAAUGCAUGGAUAGUGCCUGGAUGAACCAAAUAGAAAGUAUGUUCUUUGAAAUCGAACUGCUUGAAAAAGUAUGCGUACCUGCAUGCCAACCUCAAUGGAGAUCGUUCGUGAUGAAGCCACAUCAAGCCGAAGCAUCCGUGAAAGGACAUAGCCAAAGAAAAAUCCAGAUGCGUGAAGAAGGGAUGAAGCUAGCACAACUUGUAGACCAGAUGCAAGAAUUGCGGAAGAACUUUCGGCAAUUGCAUUUCCACAUAGAACACCAACAGUUCCGACAGCAAUGCUUGGCAUCAAAGGAGAAACAAAUUUAACGAAGCCAUGGAAAUACUGAUUUAGGAAUGCACCACCCAAUACAGGAAGAAGCACAACCUGGGGUAAUAGUCUGGUUAAGUACUAACCACAAGGAAUGAACAAUAUUUGGAGAAAAGAAAAGUUAUGCGACAAAAGAAUUCACCUGCAGUGUUGAGUUUAGCAGUGCAGCAGCAUCUACUGGAACAUAUUUCCCAGCCAGCAUGCUUGUGAGAGAGGGGGUCAUAAUCUAAAGAAUAAAAAAUAGCAAUAAGAAGAGAGAUUAAUUGAUGCAAUGUCAACAAUAUAAUCCUAAGAAGGUAAUCCGACAGAGUACUAAAAAUCCUACCCCCCCCCCCACAAAAAAAAGAAGUAUUCAUCUUAAUAAAUUCAUGUCAAUACUCUACUCAAUCGGGAUUCGAUGCUGCUUAUCACAUAAUAUCCUGGAUGGUACUUAGAAGAAAGGUCAUUGAUGUUUCCCAAGUUCUUAAAAAGGCCAAUGUAAAAUAGAACUCAAUUUAACAGUAUCUAAUAUUUUUUUUUCAUGUCUUUCAUAAAAUGGGAACUCAAACCAUAUUGCAUCACAAAAACAUGACAAAAAUUGUGGAAUCAAAUAUUUACUCAUAAUUCAGCACUCCCCUACGUACGAUCGAUGGUCAUCAAUCAAAAAUAUUGCCCGCACAAGUGGAUGGUACGGUUGAGACAUAGUCAAUAUGAGAAGGUUGAUUGAUCUUUUUUUAACACCUAUUAAAUAAGAAAGACAAUAUGAGGCAAAGUUCUGGUUUACCAACCACAGCAGAUAGAGUGCUUGCAGCGGUCAUCAACACGGAAAGUGCCACAUUUCCUCUGGGAGAUAGAAACAUCAUCAGAUGUUAUCAGGCAAAAGCAUCAAUAAUUAAAGAAAAAUGAAUGAUACCGAUAGACAAUUUUUUUUAUACCGGGCAAGAUAUGUGACAAUGUUACUUGCUGUACCUGAAAUGAAAAAAGGAAAAUGCAGCACUAUCAAGAGGAAGACUAGGAUGGAGAAGUGAAGUAUUAUAUUAUACAAUACUUGCAAAGAGUGACUAUAAGCUUACCACCAGGACAGCAACCAACUAAUAUUAAACCAGCUGCAUAGUGAGAUGGCAAAUUUAAGAGCUUGCUAACGAAAUACCCAGAUAAAGGCAUAACCUGCAACAAGUUACCCAUAUAUAAAAGUAACAUGAACUGCUAUGAUACUCUUGCUUACACAUACCCAAAGUUAUUGCCAGAGUCGGAUUUCAUAAGGUUAUUUGGAAACAAGUAUAUGUAACUCAACAAAGAAAAAUUAUAUAGUUCAACAUAAACAACUAUAAGUUAAGAAAUACAAACCGAAUAUUGGAGUACAAAACCAGAUAUCAACUCUUUAGGCAUAGCAAGGGCACCACGAAGAUCAUCUAGAGUAAGAGUCAUACCCAUACCAAGCAUAGUAAGAGUAAGACCAAAAAUACUCCAUCUGGGGGUAACCCAGCUGAAAGAACUUGGCUUGAACAGUCCAAGUAGACAUCCUAAAGAAACCCAUAGCGGGAAUGCAGUGGAAAUCACUUCACCAACCCACUCAAUCCAAUCUCUGACACUUUUCUUGUUGUUAGCAUUGUAACUGUUUGAUGAAAUGCCGCAGUGAAUUUGAAAACGAUUGGAAGUCAACGAAUUGAUGGGUCUAUUGGGUAGUUGUUUGUGGGAUUGGGAUCUUAGUGUCAAGCCAAAAGAUGAUGAAUUGGAAGGUCUGGGAAAUGAAAGUAAGAGAUUAGGGUAUGAUAGAUAAGGGGGUCUUGGUUUCUCUAGAGAUUUGAAGUAUGUUGUUGUUGCAUGAGGGCAUGGAAGUGAGGACUGCAUUUCUUGAUUUGCUUCGCCGUUUUUCAGUUCAGUUUUUCUUUCCUUCCUCAGAAAGGUCCUGUGUAAAUAUUAUUAAAAGUUUGGCUGAGAUCUCAAUUCAUUUAUAAAGUAAAUGUCACAUAAUCGAGUACAGACAUAUAUAAUAAUGACAUGUUUUUUAAGAUAUAUUUAAAAUAUAAAAAAUUAAAUACAUGACACACAUAUCAUCAUCUUAAUUUUAUAUUUAAAAUUUAAAAAUAUUAAAUAAAUGAUACACAAGUCAUCACCUUAACCUUGUCUAUGAAUUGUUUUUCUUUCACUUGAUAAUAAUGGUAUUAUUUUUGCUUUUAUAGAUAUUUUAUUGUACUCAACAACCAUUAAUAUUUGAAGUAUAAUCAAAUUAAUAGUACCCAAAGCAGAAACUAAAAGGCAGAAUCUGACAAACUUUUAGCACCUUUUAGGUGGUUUAUUGCAUUUUACAAUUUAGUACAUAUAUAUUAUAAAUUACAUUAUAUAAUAAAAAUAUAAUAAAAUGGUCUAAGUUGUUAAAGAAUAUCAUGGUAUGACUUCUACUUUAGGACCUAGAACUUUUCUUUUUAAGAAACUACUAAAAUAGUUAUUUCCCCAGAUCUAAGCUUUUACGAGCCAUAAGUAGAUCUGUAGUCUCUGCAUCAACAGCUAGAAUCAUUGGAGAUUAAAGAGCAAAUCCAGUGCUUCAAAAAUGGUGUUAAUGUAUGAGUAUCAAAGAACAGGACCCGAUUUUUUAUAAGAUGUAAACAAGAAGCCCUGAAUAACCUAUUGAAGAUCAGAAAGUACAUGUAAAGUUAUAGUUGAGCUUGUAUAUAUAUAUAUAUGCUUUUUAUUCGCAGAGGCAGUAAAAAUCACAGUUUAGGUGAUUUUGAUGAGAUGAGUGGAAACUGGCAAGGAAUAAACAAUGAGAUUGCUCUGUUCUGUCACCGAUGUGCCACCCAUGGCACAUUACCAGGUAAGAACUGAGCCUUCAACUCAGCGUUCAGCAGCUCCCUGGUUCCAAUUGAGCACUUCCCUAUGCUAAGCUCCUCCGGUGCCUUCCAGAGUCAGCCGCUUGCCUAUGGGGGCAAUAAACUUUUAGCAGAUAGACAUUGCAGGGUUAGAGGUUGAGCUGGUAUAUCAGCAAAAAGGACAGCUAGAAUUCAUCAUCCAUUACAAAUAUUAGAUAGCUUAAUCUCAGGAAGAUUUCAUAGGUUUACGCAGAGUCAGGGUUGCUUAGAAAACUACAAUGAGUAAUUUAGGGGAUGCACAGGCCUAUUCACAAUCUUCAAUAAAAUAAAAGUCUAGCCAGCUAUAAUUAUUAUUAUUGUAGAUUACUCAUCAUUCAAAAAGCUGCAGAAGGAGAGACACUAUCUACAUUAUCAACCAACCUGCUCUUGCUCAUAGAGGCUGAAUCUUAUAAAACUACAUAUUUAAUUAGCUUCUAGGACCUUUGAAUGAUAUACAUAUAUCCCAAACCAUGAAAUAUUACUGUGCUAGCUAAAAUAUGAUAACUCUAUCUAAAAGAGUUAUUUGGUCAAAUUUUGUGCAUUUGAUUUAGCUGUCCUUAAAAUUCAGAUUUAUUAAUAUCUAGCAGUUUUUAUGUUGGUUUUAUUUCUUUCUUUCACGAUUAAAUUAGGUAAUAACUUUUAAGUUAAUUUUUUUUUUAGGUCCAAAGCAAGAAGGAGCUUCCAAGGUGCGACAAAACAACAAAGGAGCAAAGCAGAGAAAACAGCAAGUCCGGCACUGCAGCACCAACAUACCUCAUGGAACUCAGACAUCAACGGAUAGUUGCUGAAGCAGACAAUUUGCUGGGUACAAGUUUGUAAACCUGAAAUAGAAAGAAGACAUAUUAGUAUAUAAGUAGCUAGAUAAAGUAAUACAAAUGUGCAAAGCAUAAAUACUUAAAAAAAUAGAAGUUGAAAACGAAUAAGGCAUGCAAUUGUUGAACAAGUAGGGAGUGUGGAUAAGAUAAAAGAAAAGAAGAGGGAGAAAAUAACAAUCAAGUAUCAAGAUAGAUAGCACCACAUCUUAUUUCCUUAAAUCUAAUAUGAAAAUGACCAGUUAAAAUUUACAUAUUUAACUGAAUACUACCAGAAAGCCCAGAAAGCAGUCACCUAAGUCCUUGAUAGUUGAUAAAACAAUAGCAUAUAACAUAAUUGCGUAUAACUAGGUCUGGCAAGGAGGGCAGAAGAAGAGAUAGAAUAUGAAGACAAUAUCAAAUAUCAUGCUCAGAUGCCACAAACAGCUUCUGCUGUAGCAAACUAAUAGGUGCUCUUUCCAAAAGAACGGUGAAUGCCCCUUGAUCUACUUGGAAAAGGAUAAAUAAGUAAUCCUCUAGCAAAAGCAAACAAUUUUCAUGAAGUUUUUUUAAAUUCCAAAUCCAUGAAGGGGACUAGUCUUGUGAUACGACAAAAGACAAUCCAAUUUAAGGUGUAGCUUUAUUUUUACCUACAGUAAUUAAACCAUGUAAGAUGGCAGACACUUGGGGCCAUUUUAACUUCUUCACAAUGACCUAGCAAUGUAAUACCAAGAGCUCAAUCAGAAAACAUAGCCUUUACUUUCCUACUUGGUAUUACUUAUCCUGCUCUACUUCUACAUGAUGAAUAACUUAAUUCUUUAAUUCUUUACCAAAAAUCCUUUGAUCACCCCCUCCUAGAGUUUGCCUCUCCAAUUAUGUUUCACGCAUUCUUUGCUACUGAGACGAAAGUGAGAUUGCCUACUACAAUCCACAUUCAAGAAUCAUAAAUCAAGCCUGCUACCUUUUACGUAACAGACCAAAUAAACUAAAGAACCAUUCACUUGCUAAUAGGUAUCGCUUCAGAAAAAUAUUGCAAAUAAGCAAUACAGAGCAUAAUAUGUACUCUGAAUAGCUUCAACAGACAAAUCAUAAAACCAUCACCACAGCUAACACAAUAUACUUUCUCAGUAUGAAAAGAAUAAGUACAAUAAUAUAGGAGUGUCAAAAGGCAUUUUCAACCGUGGAUCACAACACCAGACAAAAUUUUAGCUAACAAAAAUCGUUUCGCAAACUAGCACAACUAACAAUGGAAAACAAAAAGGAAAGCAUUUCUCAGAAAUUUACAUCACUUACUUGACCAGAAAAACCAUCUUGCAUCAUCAUUGAUGGCCAUUUCUUGGCAAUAUGUCGCAUACCUAUGCAAUGAAUAAGCUUCUUCCAGCACUUAAGUCACAUUUUUUUCAAAUCGAACAAGACAUGGAUGAUAUCCCUUAAAAAAGCUCAAGUUUCUCUUGACCUCACUUUCACGUAAUAAAGGCAUUGAUGAGGUAUUUACAACCCAAGACAAACUCCUCUAUUCUCAAUAAUUUACUUCACUGUUGAACAGUUUACAUUUCAGCAAUUUAACAGUCCCCGCGGCAACUACAACAAUGAUUUACAUACGGUAACAGACAACGGCCUUCUACUUCAGAUGAGUAAUCCACAAAAAUCCAUCUCAUUGUAGUAGACCAGUAGUAGCAUGAGAGAGACAAUAGAGAGAAGAAAGGGAGUAGAUUGCACACAAACAUAAAAUAACGUAUAAAUCUGUCUAAGACCACAGAGUCCAAUAAGCUCUUAAAACCAAGUAAUAGCUAACUUAUUCCAGCAGCAAUCACAGCUGAAUUAAUAUUCAAAUAUAAUGAAUUGAGAAAGAAACAGACUAGUAAUCACAGAAGGAACAAAAUCCAAAGACUAGCCAAGUACUUGUCUUAGAUCAUUGCUCUAAGACCAAAAGGCAAAUGGAAAGCAUAAAGGAAGAAAGAAAAGGGAAGAGAACGAAAUAGGACAAACUUUUAAAUAGAAAAUUAGUUAGUCAUAGAGCAUCUGUUUGACAAUUAGGCAUUUUUUAUGUUUAACCAAUGGAAAUUGAAUACUCAAAUUAUGGAGAAAAAAGAAAUAAUGAUAAAUGGCAUAUACACACAAAUGGCAGCAAUUUUAUUUUAAAGGUGAAGAAGAGAAGAAGCUGCAAUACCAGCGAAAGCACCAAUGCUUCCAUGAGGCAACACUAGAUGUGAUGUUAAAUCAAGAGUGAAGCCAUUAUGAUAAUGGACACAACCAGUCCAAGAAACCAGAGAUAUAAAGAAUAUAUAACUUACUGUUAGAGAGACAAAUACAUACUAUGAAAUCCUAAAGCACAUAGUCCCUCAAUCGUAAAAUGGAAAUCCUAUCUGAAUGCUGACAUACAGUCUACAAAUUUGGAAGUCCCAGAAAGUUUAUAAGGUCAUAUUCAUGACCUGCUUUAUUGCCAUGUCAUUCUUAAAUUAUCUAUCCAAUAACCCUAUUAUUUCUGGUAUCCCCCAUGACACUAAGUUCAAUGGAAGUUGGUUCUUUUGCUAGCCUCGUCUCAACAGAAUCUAAUCCUAUGAUCUGGAUCCCAGUUCCAAUAGGUAAGAUAUUCAAAACUGAAGACAUAUGCCAGAAGCAAAUAUAAACAAAAUUUCACAUAUUUAAAGAAGAGUUCGUAUAAUCUGUUGAGUUGCUGCUUUCAACUUCACAGGAAGUCAAGUAUCAGGAAGAAGUGCUAGGAUGUUUCUCAUCUUUCAUAAAAUUUGAAAAGAAUGAAAAUUCAACACAAGAUGUUACUUAUUUAUCAAAACAAGGGUAGUUUUUCUUUACACUCGGGAUGCAGUAUUCAUACAGUUUCAUACAAAUUCCAGAGAACAAAUUUCAGGAAAUAUUCAUAAUAUAUAUAUUGAGGGGUGGGGGGGGGGGCAUCAUAUAGGCUGUAAAUCAAAGGGGGUUAAAAAAACCAUCAGAUGAUGAGAGAAGCCAGUCAAGCAUAAGUGGUACAGAUACAAUAGUGGUCCAAGCAAUGGAGGCCAGAGGGUGGCCAUUGUGAUAAAGUAUGAUCUCACUCUCCUUUAAAAAUCUCUGAGAAAGGUAGCAAUGAUCCACAAAAAAAAGAAGGGUCACAGUCCUGAAGAACUGCUCUAGUGUCCAAGGUGACAGACUUUGUAAAAGAAAUCCUAAAAGCCAGGCCAGUUGAAACCAGAUAAAACUAGUAAGGAAGCUACCUGUUCUGACAUUUAUAGGGAAUGUCAGGUGUCAGCUAGUUGCUCUUACUUGUAUCCUAGAAUUUCCCAAGGCACAUAUAUUUGUCCCUAUUCAGUCUAGCAAUGGAUAUAUUUUUCCAACUAAGACUGUUGCCAUCAUAUCCCUCACUAGUUCUAUAGUUGGCAUCACAUGUAACCUCUGUAAGCUGGAUCUGCCAACAUUAAAAGAACAUAUCUGACUUUGACAUUAUUUUGCACGCACCCCCCUCAUUGAUCCACGCUGUGCAUAUUGUGGAUUGGGAGCAACAUUGUGCUCCUUUUCAGUGUAAAUCCUAAAGUUUGGCUCCACUCUUACCACAACAGAACCUAGAGUUUCUGUAUAUAUAAGCAACAAUACAAUCUUGCAAAAUGUUUUAAGCCUACUUCUUGCAUAAAUGGAUAAGCUGCAGAAAACCUUGCGAUCACAUCUUUUGCAGGAAAAAGUUGCUAGGAUAUUCUUCUAUCAUCUUAUUCUCAGUUAAACUCAAGGGUUGGACAAAACUAAGCUUCAAACUAGAUAACAAAUGUAAGCACUUCCACCUAAUACACAAAAACUAAAUAGAAAUAAUAUAGUAAGACCCAGAAAUAUAAUCCUACUCAAACAGGAACUCUGGAACCAACGCCAGAGGCAUAUCUAGCUUAAAUGAAAUUUACUGUAUACCCGUUGAUUGGAAAAACUCUAGAGAACACAAAAUGAAUAAAUAAAUGGCACAGGAACCAGAGAAAGAAAACCAAAACAGAAAAUAUUAUCUAGAAAAAAGAAGUAAACGUCAUUCAAUGAGCUGAAAAUCUGUUCUUUUUCAUUUCUCAAUUCGUUUUUCUGUAAUAGAGCAUGCAUCACCUUAAGUUUGCAGUAGAAUAGACCGAGGACCUGAUAAUAAAGGCAAUGAUGAUUAAUCUUCAUAGUACAAAUAGAUGAAACUAAAACCCCUUGCCAGUUUGCACAAUCUAUAGAUGUAACCUCUUAAGGAACUCCAUGGGAAAUUAACAAAGCAAAGGUGCAUGAGUAUAGCAAGGCUGCCUAACUAAGGUGAAAAAGCAACGGAAAGACAACUACCAAAUGAACUAUGAAGGUCAGCUUAGAUGUAAUACUAAUCUUUAAUGGAAGAGGCCCAAGAGAAAACAGAAGAAAAAACAAGCUAGAAAAGCUGGCUAAAUUUUAUCAAUAUUUUGCUAAAUUGAGCCAGACACUGAAGAGUAGUCACUCUUCUGCAAAUAAACAGAAGAAGCACAACCGAACAACUCCAUAUUCCAUGAGAAAUGGAAGAGGAAGAAGGAGCAGCAGCAGCAUAUGUGCUAGUAUUACAGGAAUCCAAUGAUUCCUAUUCUUCAAAAGCAAACAUCUACCUCAAAAAGGCAUGGCAAGGUCUUGUCCACAUAAUGAAUGAUGAAACUCAAAUUUCAUUAAGAUAUCUAAGAAAAGAAAAGUAUCAAAUUGAAAUGCUGUAUCACAAAUCAACUGAGAAAAUAUAUGCACCAGACAAUAUCAAGCAGACAACAGCAUACUGCAACUUUUAAGCAAAUAUAAAUAAUGUUUUUAGGUACAAUUCCAGAACACCCAUCAUAUUAUAAAUCGUAAUAGCUCAAAUCCAAGCCUAGAUAACUAAUAAGUUGCCCAGAAGUACCAGAUGAAUCAUCUUAGCAUGAUUUGGAAAAUCAAACUAGCGAUGUCCUUGAGCUCUCUGCAUGUCAUAUGCACCCCAGGAACCAGAAGCAGGACCAUACUGACGAUAAACAUCCACCCCACCCUGAACCUGUAAUGCAAGGAGAAAAACCAAUCAUUCUUUAAAGAAAAUAAUGGAUAUACAUAAAACUUGCAAAUGUAGCUCACAUGCAAGUCCAUACAAAUCUAAGCAAACACAAAGCAGAAAGUGUUGAACAUGUACAUAAAAUAGCAACUUACAGGAUUCAUGCCAUAGUUGACAUGAUAAGUAUUUCCAGUAUAUCCAGCUUCAGGGUUUCCAUAAUUUGCAUUAUAACCAGAUACAGCUGAAAAUUAUGGACAAAGGAAAUGUUAUUCAUAAACAGAGAAAAACCACUAUUAGUUAGUCUGUUACAUAAACAGAAAAAUCAGGCUUCAUCCAGUACAUCAAGCCUCACAGCUUAAAGGAUAAGACUUACCGGGUGAACUUUCAAACAGCUAACUAGAAUUUAUGGUAAAUAAGACUUACAUCAGGCUUCAUCCACUACUCAUAUGAUAAGACUUACUGGGUGAACUAUCAAACAGCUAACUAGAAUUUAUGUUAAAUAAGAUGUCAAGGAGCCUUAGAUAAAAGAAAAAGAUGGCUUGAGUGAUUAAAUUAGCUCAAACUUCAAAAAAACAAAAGGAUUUAUUUACUUUGUAGUUUGUACGCACUUCAGCAUUGACAGCACAUAUAUCCUCAAGUUAGAAUGAAAACCAACCCAACAUCUACAUAAAAACUUAACUCUCAACUAAAGAUCAUAUCAUAAAAAUAGAAAAGUGAAAAGAGCAGUGCAUGAAACUCAAACAGCAACAUGCUUCCACUGAAAUAAAGUCCACUAUGUUAAAAAAAAACAUGGAUUAAAUAUUUAAAUGAAGGGCCUCCAUACCAGGAUUAGCACCAGUGCCACCACCAGCGCGAGUUCUCUUUUCUGCAUUAGCAACUUCUGCACGAAGCUUUUCCAACUCCCGAGCCAUUGAGAUCAAUUUCUUCUCCAUCACCUGACCAUGUUCAUAAUUUUCCGCAUAUCCUUUCUUCUCAUAUUCAAUGGCAGCUCUAAAGGUCGAGAAAAUCAAACAAAAACCAUCAGAAAACCAAACGCCGUACAACAAUUUAACAAAGGCACAUAUACGAUCGAAAAUAAAUUUUCUAUUUCACUCAAACAAAUAGUUUUCAUUCUCACAAUAACUCUCAUAUGAAAAAGUUUUGAGAAAUGUGAAAAAAAAGUAACUUGUCACCUUGCACGUUGCAAUUCCUGUUUCAAAUUUUCAAUCUCAGCCUUCAGAACAGGAGCCUGUUGCAAUUCCCCAGUAAGUCUUGUCAAAUCUUGACUCAUAACCUGAACCUGACCCGUUAGAUCCUGCUUCACAGCACUAAGCUGCUUAAUAUCACCAUUAACCUUAACAAGCUCAGCUCGCAUAGCCUCCAGUUCACGAAGGUCAGCCUCCAACCGAACCGACUUCUCAUACAUCUCUCUCAUCUGAACAUCCUUCUCCGCCCUCAACGAAUCUGCAUAAUGAGACAUCUGUUUUAACUCAUGCUGAGCAGCCUCCAAUUCCUGCUUUAACGCAACAUGAGUCGCUGCCAGCCUUUGAUUAUCCGCCAGGAGGGCUUGAAUUUCUUGCAAUUGAACUCCAAGACGCUCCUCAAUGAUAGCUGGAUGAGGAGGAAACCCUCUAGGACCCAACACAAAUUGGGGUUCUCUUAUUUCAUCCAGUAAAACUGGGUGUGGUGGCAUUGGUCCUAGGCCUCUAGCAUAAGGAUGUUCGUGCACCGGCGGCAGCAAUCCAGCAUGAGGUGGCCCUUUCAUCGGAAUAGGCGGUGGCCCACGAUUUCUUCCAGACAUAACUAAACUAUCGUUCUUUAAAAUCAAUGUAAAAGUGUACUGAACAGAAUUAUAUAUAAUUUAUAUCAAAUAAUGAAUACAUUCUGAAACCCAAAUAAACAAACAAAUGGAAUUAAAAAGCAGACAAACGUGGCGUUUCAUUACCUGGAAAAUUAAUGAGAAAACAAAAUUCUAAUUGAAAUUUUGCAAUACAAACACUAGAGCUGGCUAUUUGGAGACGGAAGAAAAUUUAGCGAAAAGCAAGAGAAUCACUUAAAAUUCUCGGGUACCAAAAAAGAAAGGGUAUAAACGGGCCAAACUUAAUCAGCUGAUAACUCUGAACUUUUGACCCGUAACUAUUUUAAUAAUUCUCCAGGAAUCAAUUUAAAGGAAGUGAGGGUUUUUUUUUAUGGAAACCAGUAAGACAUGAGAUUUAUAUUUAAUAAAAAUUAAAUUUAUUUAUUAAAUUGUUUAUUCCAUCCUAAAUUAACCAUUAACUAUAGGUAAAUUACACCAACAGUAACUCAACUUUCGAAAAAUAACAAAAUAGUGACGUUAUUGAAAAGUGACAAAUCAGUCACUCAUUAACAUUUUUCGUCACAGACUUAACGGGAUAGCUGAUGUGGCUAGUUAACUAGCUGAUGUGGCCAAUUAACUAGUCACGUUAGAUAAGUAGUCAAAGGGUAAAAAAGAAAAGAAAAGAUGAUUGGUUAAGGGUAAAAAGAAGAAAAAGAGAAAUGGAGAAGAAGAAGAAUGGAAAAUGGAAAAUUACCCAUCGAGUAUAACUGUCGGUGGUGGUGAUCGACCGAAAAAGCAGUAUUAUUUGAGGGAUUGAUUGGGAAAUUUGUUUUCGCUUUCGAUCCACACAGUGCCAUUGUUGCUAUACUGUAAGCUCAAGCCGCUUCUUCGGUGGAAUCAAAAGUACCUAACCAAACCCGAGUUUUUUCCACGGGUUUUGGAUCUCAACUGCAAAUCUACCCCAUUGUCUUUUUCAAACACCUCUGUAUUUGGGUUCUUCUCCAUCAAGGACGGCGGGACCCCUCCCUUUCCUUAUCGAAAAAUAAGUAAAUAAAAAAUGGGAUUUUUUUCAAAUCUCACAAAAGGGUUAUCCAAAAUCAAGUGUAUAAGCUCAAAAUAUUAAAUAAAUGGUAAUAAUUGUUAUACAAAUACAAAGGGGAUUGAUGAUGAAAAAAUCGCAAGAGCCAAAACCCUAAGCAAUGUAAAGGCCAAAACUGCCUAGACAUCUUAGCAAAGGCAAAGUUGUAUCCAAGAACCCACCGAAGGUAACUAGCUUCCUUUGGUUCAAGUUCACGAAAAAGGAACACUCCAUUUUAGCAUGGACAAGGUUGAGGUACGAUGAAUCUAGCUAAAGAAGAGCUUGGGUUUUGAGCUAAAAAUGAUUUAGGGUGUGCAGAUUUCAAGGUCUUGAAUGUGUUGAAAUGUUGCUCGGGGUUAAGUUUUUUUUUGAGUCAGAAUCUUUUGCGACCCCAAAGUUAGGGGAGUCGAAGCCUUCCAACAUUGUUUUACACACUAAGGAUUCAAAUGCAAAGCACUUAUGGCUUUCUUAUGCAAAAACAACUCUAAGUUCAAUGGUUUUAGCAACUGCAUCAAGAUGGUUAUGGUGAGAACCUCAGCGGCCAUGAUGCAGCAGAGGGCGUUGGCCAUGGAGGCGUCGGUGUCGUGGAAGCGUAGUCAUCUUUGAGUUCCCAGAUUUUGACCCUUGGGAACCACUGGUAUGAAGUCCUUCUACUUUCUCUUAUUCUUCUCAUCUUCUUCUCCAUUUAUUCUCUUAUUCUUCUACUGCCCAGACUUCUUAAAUGGGGCUGUUUAAAUGACAACUAGCCCACCAUUAAAUGCCAUGUUGCUUUUCCGUUACGUCUAUAACGUAAAAUGGUUAAAAGGACUGUUUUGUUAAUUUUCAAAAGUUAAGUGACUGGAUUGACACUUGAGUGACUGUUUUGUCAGCUACCCCAAAGUUGAGUGAUUGUUGAUGUAAUUUACCCUUAACUAUAUUAACCAAAUCUUAUAUUUGAUCGAAACACUUAGGUUAUCUUAAAUUACUUUCGUAAUUUGAUAUCUAAAAUUUGGCUUAUUCUAAGUGUUUUUUUAUAUGUUUUUGUUGAUUUUUAGUUUUAAGCAUUAAUAAAUGUUUUUGUUAGUUUUAUGUCAUUUUUGGGAUCCAAAAUAGACAAUCGUGUCAUAAGGAACCUAAUAAUAUGAUUGAGCGGUGUAGGGAAACGAUAAUAACCCGAACUUGAAAAAAUCAUCAUGUUGAAGUGAGGAAAAUUGAGGUCAACUCCAGUGAUAUCGUGAUACUAGAGCCUGGGUAUUGCGAUACUAAGACCCCUAAGACUUCCAAGUUCAAGACUGUUUUGGGUAUCGCGAUACCGCUACUUGAGAGGUGAAAAACUACAGGGCAAUUUUGUAUCUAAAUAAGCUUAUGUUUUUUUUAUUUAAGGGCAUAAUGAUCAAUGUUAAGUUAAAUGUUAUUAGACUAUAAAUACUACUUUAUAAGCUUUUGAUUUCAAAUUUUGUUGGCCAAACAUUUUCUCCUUAGUUUCAUAGUUCUUAAUUUAGGUUUUCAAUUUUUUUUCUCUUCUUUUAUUUUCUUUCUUUUUCAUUCAUUUUUGUUUUUGUUGUAGUUUUUUUAUUUCUUCAUUUUUCCUAGAACAUUGUGGAUGAAAAUGUAUUAAAUGUUUACACUUCAUCGAAUGUGUAACACCCCUAACCCGUAUCCGUCGCCGAAUUAGGGUUACGAGGCAUUACUGAACAAAACACAACCAUUGCAAAAUCAAAACAUAUACAUUGUAUAUAAAUAUUUAAAAUUUAAUAAACUUGAUCUAAUAUUAAAUAUGACAUAUUAUGAGCUUCACUUAGAUCAUUUAAAACAAAAUAAAGACAUUACAAUCCAGCUAAUUGAUAAGGAAAUAAAUCAUUUUCGUAUGACAAUUAAAUUAAAAUACAAUAUAACAAAGUAUGACCUUCAAAACAUUUAUCUAGUCUAUACAUGCCAGAGUUAAAAUUUUAACAUUUUAAUACCGAGAGAGUAGAUAGAGUGAUGAUCUUGCUGACAAUCCUCAAGCUUGAAGCUUGAUCUUUAAAUCUAUAAAAUAGAAAGAUAUAAACAAACAAAGUAAGCUUUUAUAGCUUAGUAAGUUUACAACAUAACCAAAUAUAAAAUAAAUUAUAUAAUUUCCUGCGUACACUUAAUGAAAUCGCGAAUACUACGUAUAUUACCAUUUGAAUAUUGCUAUUCAUAAACAUCUUAUUUAUAACCAAAUAUAUGAACUCAUAGCAUUCAUAUCAAAGAGUACAUAUAUAUAUAUGACAUGCAUAUAAUCAAAUGUAUUUAUAAAUACUCAUCAAACUUUACAACCAAUACAUUUACACAUCAGUUACGUAUAGUCAAAUGCUUACAUAAUUAUCAACAUCUAAGACCGAAUGCAUGUACACUUUAAACAAGAAUAGUCAAAUGCAUAUAUAUAUAUAUGCUUAACAAAGAUUAUCAACGAAUGUAUAUAUAUACAUAUGCCUCAAACAAGUUUAACCGAAUAUAUUCCUACUUACCAAAAAUGCAUUUCACCGUAUAGGUAGAUGCUUAUUAAAUGCAUAUAUAUAUAGAUUAUCACAUGCAUACAUCCGAAUAUAUAUAAACUUAGCAAAUGCAUAAGAACAAAUAUAUAUAUUUAUAUGCUCUUCAAUUACAUAUAAACGAAUGCUUAUAUGCUUAUAUGCUCAUCAACAUCCAAUGACCGAAUAUAUGUACAUGUUCUUCAAAUUCAUAUGACAUAAUUCAUUCGCAUAUACAUUAUAUUUAAACACGUAAUAUAAACAGAUUCACCGGCACUUUGACUGCUAGGUUUAAAACCUGAUUCAGUACACCGAUUUUUGGCCUGCUAGACUUAAAGUCUAAAAUGUUUCACCGGCAUCAAGCCUGCUAGACAUAAAGUUUGAAUUGUUUCACCGGCAUAAAGUCUACUAGACAUAAAGUCUGAAUUGUUUCACCGGCAUCCAGCCUACUAGGCAUAGAGUCUGAAUUAUCUCACUGGCAAUAAGCCUUCUAGGCACUGAGCUUGAAAUCUCAAUUCACAUAAGUUGUAUCUCGUAUUCAAACUAUUUAUGGAUAUAAAUCCAUACGAAAAAUUUAGCUCAAAACUUAUAAUCUUUCUCUUUGAACACAUGGAUAUAUAUAUUUAUAUAAUUUGUAUUAUCAAUUCCAGCUUCAUAACUCAAUGAUUCCACCGAACAUAUUUAUACAUAACCUUAUAUUUUGGAUCCUUCUACUACUAUCAUACUGUUAACUUAUAAUAUACUUAAAUAAUAUACAUUUAACAUUCGAACAUAUUAAAAUAAUCUAAGCUAAUAAUUUCAUACCAUUAAUUCAAUACAAAACUUAUACAUAUGCAUAUGCAUAUACAUUUACAUUCGACCUCAUGUAUACAUAUAUAAUUUCAUACCUAAUUUCAAUUCAAGAAAUUAUACAUGUACAUUUAUACAUAUUCAAAUCUACCAUAUAAAUGUAUAAAUUCAUACUCAAUUUCAAAACAAGAACUUAUACAUAUAUAUAUAUAUGCAUAAUCGAUCCUCAUAUACUUAUAUAAUGACAUAUCUAAAUUCAAUACACAACACAUACAUGUAUAUUUGCAUGCUUAUUCGAAUAUAUAUAUAUACAAUUAUAACAUACAUAUCACAAAUCAAAUCCAAGAGUUUAUACAUAUAUGUACUUAUAUAAUCAUUCGAACCUUAUAUAUAUACAUAUAUCUUAUACAUAUCUUUGAUUAAUCCAAUAAUUUAUACAUGUAUAUACUUAUAUACCAUUUAUACUUUAACUAAAUUUAAAGGUUUAUAUAAGUAUAAGCCUAUAUAUAUAUUCGAACAUUAAUAAUACAUGUAUAUCAUUCAUACUUUAUUUUAUUUCAAUCAAUAUACUUUUAAAUUAAAGUUCAACAAAAAUACAAUACAUUUACAUCCAUAUAUACCGAUUUAAUAACAUUAAAUAGCUAAUAGACUUACCUCGGAUAGUGAAAAAUCGAAACCGGACGAUUUGUCGACGACUUUAGCUUUUCCCAGAUCUAACUCUGAUUUCUUUGGUUCUUGAUCUAAAUAUAUUCAAAAUGAGCUAAAUUAAAUAUUAUUACAUUCAAUUUAGUCCAAAAGCACAUAAAUAGUCAAAUUACCAUUUUACCCCUAACAUUUACACUUUUUGCAAUUUAGUCCCUAUUGCAUAAAACACAAAAUACACAAAAUUUUCCUACACUAUACAAGGGCCGAAUGUUCCUAGUGCUCAUACAAGUCCACACAUUUUAUUUACUUCACAUUUUAGUCCCCCAAAAAUUUAAUUUCACAAUUUAGCCCUAAUUACUCAAUUUCACCAAAAAUUCAAAAACAAAACAUGUUUAUCUUUCACAUAUAUAUCUUUCAUAUUUCAUCAUCAACUAUCACAAAGCUCAAGCAUUCAUCAAUGGCGUAUCACAAAAUCAUAACCAAAUUCUAAAAUUAAAGCAUGGGUCUUGUAGUACAUAAAGCAGUGAUCUCAAAAACGUAAAAAUUUUCAAAAACCGAACAAAAACAAACCUUUAAUUAAGCAAGGAUAUGGCCAAACCUUCUUCAAGCAUUUUAAUGGCUUUCUUUCAUCUCAAUUUCGGCUAAAGAAGAUGAUACAAACUAUAUUUUAUGUUUUAACUAUUAUGUAUUAUAAUAAUUUAUAAUCUACUAAUUUAACCUUAUUAAAAAUAAUUAUAACCUUUAUAUAUUAAGGUUAGUUUUGACCUUAGCCACCCACUAUCUAAAUAGUGGUUAAAUUGCAUCUUUAAACCUUCUGAUUAAAAAGACAACAACAAAUGGAUGCUUUUAGAUUUAACCCCUAAAUUUUUAUUUUGCGCGAUUAAGCCCUUUUUAUCAAAUUGAGCACUCAAGCGAUCAAAUUUUCAUACGAAAUUUUCACACAUAGUAAUUCACAUACUAAAAAUACCAAAAAUAAUUUUAAAUUAUUUUUUUGACUCGGAUUUGUGGUCUCGAAACCACUUUGUCUGAUUAGGGUCAAAAUCGGGCUGUUACAGGAUGUUUAUCUAUUAAUGAACAUUCUCAUAACUUUUAUCUUUUGUAUUUUAAGUUUACUAUGUGUUUGUUAAAAUGCUUGUGCAAAAUUUAAGUUCAAUCAUGUGCUAAAUUGUUUUAUUGGUUGAUUGAUGAGUGAGUUCACUACAGUAAAAUAGGUUUAUAGCGGCGUUUUUUGGCCCUAUAAGCACCGCUAAAAAAAUUUGCAGCGUUUUGAUAAGUGCCUUAAAAAAUGCCACUAUAGAUAACGCUGCUAAAUUUGCAACGUUUAUGUGGAAAAACGCCGCUAUAGAACAUGACCUUUAGCGACGCUUCUUAUAAAAAUGGCACUAGCUUUGGCGGUACUUUUUCAACAAACGCCACUAUAGAACAUGAUCUUUAGCAGUGCUUUUCCCACAAAUGUCGCUAAAGGUCAUGUUCUUUGGCGGCGUUUAUGGGAAAACACCACUAGCUUUAGCAUAUUUUACCAAACCAUUUUAAUUCGUAUAGAACCCGAAUUGUCAACAUAAUUUCCUGUAACAUCAAAUCCAACCAAAAACUUCAAAUCUAAAUGAUACUAUCACGAAAGAAAUAUGUAUAUGAUCUAAAUUAAUAAAUGAAAUAACAUAUUAUAUUAUAUUCAAAAGUUAUAUUGUUAAAAUAUUCUCACAAUAAGAAAACAAAAGUCUAAGAUGGCAGAUUCUAUGACAGCUGAAGCAUUUUCAUCAUAUUCUGAAGCUGUAGCUAGAGUUCAUCAUAUUUUCUUGUUGCAUCUGCUUCCCUCGCUGCUGCCUCUGCUUUAAGUUGUAGCUAGAGUUCAUCAUAUUUUCUUUGAGCCUCUACUUCUCUUGAUGUUGCCUCUGCUUUAAGUUGAGCAACUUGCUUAACUGUGCUCACUUGCAUCUUAGCCAUCUGGUUUCUUAACCUCUGAACUUCAGCUUGAGCCUAAUUUCCCGAAGACAUGUAUUGCUGCGAGCUAGAUCCAAAAUAUUGGGUUGGGUUAACAAAAUAUUCGGUAAUCAAUGUCGUCUAGAUUAACAGAACUAUCACUUACUCUGCCCUUUUAUCCUUUAGUUUCUCCUAAUAAAUCAAUUAAUGAGUUAGAAACGAAAUAUAUAAUCAAACAAAUGCAACAUAACUUGGCAUUAUUUGCAUUACAAACGACGAAUUAAAUCGUUAUAAUUAAACAUGAUAAAUAUUUAAAAUAAUUCAAAUUUUAUUAAGUAAAUCUACAAUAAUUUUUACAAUUUCAAUAGUCAUAGGAGAUCCAUUUCUUUCUAUGUGUAAUGUCAAAAAGCUAAAGGCGUCCAACUUUUUGACCAGACGACAGUUCUACAAUAUAACAGGAAAAAUAUUAUUUAGUAGAAAGUAAUUAAUAUUUGACACAAUUAAUAAAUUCAAAAUACCUCGUCAUCAGCUAUACAAGCAAAACUUUUCGACCUAACUGUGUGCAUGAAUUUUUGUUUUUGCCUACUUAUAGUUCCAACUCACUCACAAUCUUACAUUAUGAAAUUAUCAUUACGUAUAUAGUAAAUACUAUAAACUGAAAUAGUUAUAAGAGUUUGGAAGUACGUAAUACCUCUCCUUUCUUUGAAUUCCAAAAUCUAACUGCAUCUUCCCAUUGGUACCUCAGUAUUCCCGGCGGGACAUUUCACAAUUUCUCUUUGAAGCUUAUAUUUUUCUUAAAAUAUUAAUUCUUUAAAGUUGUAGGACCCCGAAUUCUGGGCUAGAAGUUUUAAGGUCUGUAGGUAGGGUCAGUGGCUAAAUCAGGCAUUCGAGCUUAUUUUCGCAUUCAAGUGAUAGAAUGGGUUUGCUGGUCUGGUGGUUAGUGGUAUGCUAGUGUAUCUCUAGGUCACGUGUUCGAACCUUUGUGUGUGCAUUUUGGAGAAUAUUUUUAUUUUGUUAAAUAGUAAACUUGUUUUAAGUUUUUAAAAAAUAAUUAUUAGUUUUUUUUUUGUUUUUUUUUUGGUUACUGUUUCUUGCACGUUCUCCUCUCCCUCUCCCUCUUUUUGGUUUUCUUUUUUUUCUCUCUCUUUUCUUUUAGGAAAAAUGGUUUUUCUUGCAGAUUUCAGAGAGCUUUGCUCCUUUGUCGAUGAUUUGGUAUCUAGAUGUCAUUGAUCACGAAUUAAGGUGUGGGUUCCGUAUCUUUCUAAUUUAUUUGUGAAUUCUCGUUUUGACAAUGUGAAAGUCUGCAUUUUGUGUGUGUUUGCAAAUCGAUUGUUUAGGAUGUUGUUCUGCUAUUUUUAUGCAUAGAACUUGUUUGAUUUGGUAAAAUUUUGAAUGAUCGAGGGUUGGGAAGUGCUUCGAGGUUGAAAGCACAUUUUUUGGGGCUAUUUUAGGGUGGUUUCUUGACCACACGGGUGGCCAUACGGGCGUGCGUCCCUAUACGGGAAGUUUACACUGUCGUGUGUAAUUGGGAAUUAGGGUUUCUAGGCUAAUUUGGGUGCUACACGCCUGUAUGGUUGUUUUGGGAAAUUAGUCGAUUUUUACACAAUCGUGUCUCCUGAGCACACGGGUGUAUGUGUUUAGGGAUUAGGGAUUUAGUUUUGGUGUCACACGAUCGUGUGGCUAAUUUGGUGAUUUAGGGAUCCCACAUGGGCCUGUGAGACCCUCACACGGCUGUGUCUGCCCUACACUCUAUUUUAGUACAAACGGACAGAGAGUUACACGGCUGGAUCACACGACUAUGUCCCUAGGUCACACAGGCUUGUGCCUCCUUCCACAUGGGUGUGUGUCCCUCCACAUGGGCGUGUUGACCCCCUCACACGGCCUAGACUUUUUCACACGGCUGGAGCACACGGCCUAAUCACAUCGAAAUAAGACAACCUUUCAUUUGCCAUAGUAAUCCAAUUCAAUAAUGUCCGUAAGAAGUCCGUAAUACUCCACAUUUCCCUCAACAUGAUUACUAUCUCUAGCACUAGCAUAACUUGUAAUUGAAGAAUUAAUAACUAUUCCACAAUUUUGAGUCUUCCUCAAUCUUUCACAAGAUUUUGUAUGAAACAUGAAUCCAUUAAUAAGAAAGGCAUUAUAUCUUUUUACUACUCUGUUCAGACCUUGAGAAAGCCAUUUAACUUCUUCAUUAACGUCCUUUCCACUCCAAACCUAUAAAAUUGAAAGUAAAUUGAUUAAUCAUAAUGUUAUACGAAAACAUUAUUAUUUGUCAUUGAAAGCUUCAGUUGCAUACCGUCUACCCUAACCAUUCAUGAAAAGAUUCUGUGAAUAACUUAUGAAUCUCUCGAUGUUAUAAUCUUCGGGAGUGUGAACAAGAUCUCAAGGCUUGUUUGUACUCACUAUGUUAAAAAGUGGAUUAGUUGGUUAGAAGAUAAACAAAUGAAAAAGAUAAAUAUUUAUCAAAUUCUAAAACUUACUUGUGUAAUGGUUCAAUUGAAUCGUGGUGAAAAAGAAUAUAUGGAUGUGCUUAUACUCAAGAUCUAUCAUCUAAGUAUGCAAUUUCAACUUUACCAAUUGGUUGUCCAUAACUUCAAAAUAGAUAAGUUUCAGCUAAGUUAUGAUUAGUGAGCCCAACAUUUCUACUUGGUCUAUUCAGUCUUGUUUCAACAUCUUUUAAAUAUCUAGAGCAGAAAGUCAUACAUUCAUCUGCUAAGUAACCUUCAACAGUUGAUCCUUCUGGAUAACGCUUAUUACGACAAUAGGACUUCAAUUUGCAUAGGAACCUAAACACGAUAUACAACAUUAUCAAAAGUGUAAGUAAAGGUAUAUUCAUGAAUGAAUGAAAACUUUGCAAAUAAAUUAGCACCUCUCUAUAGGAUACAUCUACCGAUAGAAAACCGGUCCCCCAAGUUUUGCUUCAUGAGGGAGAUGGAUUAGUAAGUGCACCACACUUGCCCCUUGUCUCCAUCUAUCUAUGACCUUUGAAAAAUAUUAGUGUUGAGUUACUAAUCAUUUGUAUAGUUAAUUGCAACUAAAGAUAUAAUUUAAACCGGAAAGUAAAGAUAAUAAACAUAAAAAUUAUUUAUACAAUUCAAAACUUCUUUCUAUGCUUUUGGGAUUUUUUUUAACAAAUAACCCAUUAUAAAUUAAUAGUAUAAAAUGUGAUUUAAGCUUAAUUCAUUUUCUAUCUUAUAACCUCACUCCUAUACAUUUAUUUAUAUUCACUUUUACUUUCCCACGCAGUUCUUUUGACGGACAAAAGUGUUCUUUCUAUUAGUACACAAAUCAAUAAGCAAAUUUUCUGCUACAAUAAUGAAAUAAUGCCAUUGAAGAUUUGCCCCAAUUAAAUUCUUGUACUUGUAACAAAUUUUAUUUAAAAAAUAAAUUUAAAAUGACUUAAUUAUAGGUUAACAAAUUAUAUUUUAAUUGGAUUGAUUUAUUUUAUUUUUUGAUUAAUAUAAAGUGAACUUUAUUUUAAAUAUUAUUUAAUUUAAAUUUAAAUAAAAUAAUAAAAUAUAAAAAAAACUCGAAAUUAACAAAAAAGGAACAAACAAACUUUCUAUUAAAAUAACUAUAGUAAAUUUACAGAUUAUCGAAUUGGUACAUUAGUUAUAAAAUAUAAAAUAUAUUAUUAUAUUGUUUUAAAAUAGUUAAAUGAAAUUUAAAUAAAAGGUUUAAGAAAUUUUCAAAUUAUCGUUGGAUUCGAUUCAAUACUAUGAACAAACAUAAUUUUUUUUUAAAAUAUCAAAAGAAAAUAAUUAAAAAUAAAAUAAAAUUAAACAUCCCAACCAAUCAAUAAAAGAAUAUCAUCCUAGAAAAAAAUUUGGAAAAUUCAUCAUUUUCUCAAUUUUUUUGAAAAGUAUUUUUCAAUAACUAGAAGAAAAAUAAGUUAGAAUAUACUCUUAAUUUAGGUACAUUUCAUACAUUUGAAAUUUAAUUUUAUUUUUAAUAUUUUUUUUUGAAUUUCAAAAUUCAUAUUCAAUUAUUAAUGUCAUUAAAAUUCUUUUACUAAAUUUAUUGGUGUGAUAUUUUAAAAUAAAGAAUACUUGAUAUUUACAUAAACAAAUAAUAUUAUAAUAAGUUUAAAUUUAAUAUACAAAUCUUAAUAGUAUUAACAAUUAAAUAAAUUUUAAAAAGAAAAUUGGAGAUCACAAAACCUUACUAUGGGAAUCUAAUGCUUUCAACAAAGAAUAAGAAUAAUAAAAGCUUUAAAUAUUUAUUUUAUCUCCUUUGGACCAUAACCAUGCAUUGGAAUUUUUUUUUUUUUUUUUUACAAUUUAUUCAUUCUUUCUAUAGGUAGAUAGAAUAUAUUAUCUGCACCACUAGAGAGUUAGUACCAAAUACCAAAUCAAUUGACCUAGAAAAAUGUUAAUUGUUAAUGCUAGGCAAGUUUGAUUAAUACUUAGAGUGUUUAUCGUUUUAAAUGUGACCUGAGUUUAAAUUACGUUAAUCGCAUUAUUGCCAAAACUUUAUCCUCCUCUUAAAAUUCAUUAAAAAAUAAAAUAAAAUUAUUUUAAAAUAUAUUAAAAUGUCAUUUUUAGUAUCACACUCAACUUUAACCAUGCUUAAAGAUGUAAAAAAGUUGGCUCAACUUUAUAAUGCUUAAUAAUAUAUAAAAAGUUGUCUCGAUUAAAGAUGAUGAUAAUAAUAUUAUUAUUAAUACUUCUGAUAUAAUCCAUAAACAUUCCUUUUAUGACACUUGUGAAAAUAGAUUUUUUUUUUAUUUCUUUAGAUAAUAUAAAAAUGGUGAAAUUUCAGGUUUGGUGUAUAUUUAAAUACUCCAUUUUCAUUAAAAUGUUGGUGUACAUGUGUUUAAAUACAAUAAUUUCUACUCUUUUUUUUAAAUUAUACAACAAUGGUCAAAUUUUAGUUUUGGUCCCUAUAUUAUGUUCAUAUUUGAAAUUUUGAUCUAUAUACUUUAAUUUUUGACAUAAUUUGAUCUUUAAACAUUUUUAGUGUCAUUAGUUAGUAAAUAUUUUAUUCGGAUUAAAUAAUGAUGUGAAUUUUUAAGAAUUACCAUCAUUGUUAAAAUUCUCUGUUAAAUUCAUGUCAAUUACAAUGUCAUUUUUUUGUUACAUAGCUACUAAGUGAGUAUUUUACUGGUGGAUUUAACAUAAAAAUUUUGAUAGUAUUGACAAUUGAACCUGAAGUUUUAGAUCCAAAAAAGUAAAUGGAUUAAAUUCUUGAAAAUUGAAGUUUUAGGAUUAAAUUUUAAAUGUACGAAAAGUAUAGGGACUUAGAGCAUAUUUUAACCUUCAAAUUUUUAUUCUAUAAUUUUGUAAAAACUUAAUUGACCCAACACAAAGCAUGGUCGAAAACCAUGCUAGUAAAAGUAAUAGGAAAAGAAAACAUAAAAUAAUAAUUUGAAAAGAAAAUGUUAUAAAUUAUACUGGAUUAUAAGAUACUCACAAUGUUGGAUGAAAAACAAAAUCACGUAACAAAUAUAUUUAUAAAAAAAAAUUGAUAAAAGAACAAUUGAGGUUUUGGUUAAAAUGGUUAAAUAAAGUUGUUACAAACUAUAAUGUCUUAAAUUCAAAUCCUAUCAUGUAUCUGUAUUUUUUUAAUGCAAAAAUAUAAAAAAAAACUCUUAAAAUAAUAUAAUUUUGUAAUGCCCCAAAAUUUUGAGAAUUUAAUUGUAAGAAUUUGCAAUAAUUAAAUCUCUGUAUAUGUGGCUCUGUGAUUUACUAUUGUAUCUAUGAUUCGCAGUUCGAGUUGCUUUGUUAACGGUUUUAUUAGUUUCUAAAAACAACAUUUGUCCAUGCGUUAUAUAGUUAAGUUCAAUUCAGUGUAAAUUUAUAUCAAGAAUGAGCUUGUUGGUUCAUUGGUUAAAUAUAUAUCUGUAUUCUGUUUGGUUUUGAGUUUGAAUCCUAGAAUAUGCGAGAGAGAAUAUUUUUGCUAAAUGUUGGAAGUUGAUUGUGGUCGUAAGUGAAUAUGGUCUAGUCAAGAUUAUACAUUGUAAAUCGCAUCAAUCGAAAGGCUAUCGAGUAAGUCCCAGCCAAUUAGUUGUUGAUAAAGGAUUGUUGAUUUUCUAUUUAGGCAGAAAUAUCUGAAGUGGUGAACAGCGACAUGCCAAUUCCAGUGAUUGUCUUUAAAUUUUUUAUGGGUAUUGAGUCAAUUGGAAGUUUCGUGUCGAACCUUUCGACUUGGGUAUUAGGAGUAUAAUUGGGAUUGGUUGUCGAUAAAAUGGCUUAAUUGUGCAAUUAAAUGCUUAUUUUAGGCUUUGGAGAUCCUCCUCAUUGUUGUUGCUUCGAAAUCUCUUCAGGUGCGUGCUGAAAACCUUAAAUUUUGCAAGUUUCAGUCACUGGAAAUGGUGGUUGUCGACGCCACACAGCCAUGUGCCAGGCCAUGUGGUUGGCCGUGUGACUCACUGUUCAUCGGUUUGGGGCCAAACAGGCACGGCACACGAGCGUGUGUUCAGGCCAUGUGUAGCCAUGUUGGUGUAGGGUUCACACGGGUAAUAGACACGAGUGUGUGUCCAGGCCGUGUAACUCAUUAUUUGUGACUUAGGGCCACACGGCCAGGGACAUGGGCGGUUGCCCAGGCCGUGUGAGCUACACAGACAAGGACACGGGUGUGUGUCCAAGCCGUGUAACUCACUGUUUAUGUUUUGGAGCCACACGGGCAAGGACAGCAUGUGUCCAAGCCAUGUAACUCAUUGUUUAUGCUUGGGAACCACACUGGCAUGUAACUUACUCUUAAUAUAUAACUCUAAAUCGAGCACCAUUUGUUUUAAACGAAACUAGACUUCUGUAUGGUUAUAAAGAUAUAAGGCUCACUUCCUAUUUUAUCUUGUGAAUUUUUUUGUUAUUUUUCAAAGUCACUGUUAAAUCUGUUUUAUAAGAAUUCUGUUGCCAGAUUUUUAUGACAUUUCAACACUCAAAAAUUCAUAUCUUUUAAAAUACAAAUCAAAAUCAAUCUUCGUUUGUUCUAAACGAAACUAGACUAACUCACGGUUACAACAAUGUACAGAUCACUUCUUAAUUAUUUUUACAGAAUUUAUUGUGAAUUUUCAAACUUACCAUUCAUGUAAUAAUCUGUUUCUAGCAGAUUUCACAACUAAGUUUUUAGCUUCAUUUUAAAUCAUCCAGACAAGAUUUCUACACAAAGACAUAUAACAUGCAUGCAUUAUCACACAAGCAUCAUAUUUAUGGCUUAUCAAGAAGUAUAGGAGAGUUAGAGGGUACCACAUUGAUGGAAGAACACCAACAAAGUUUCUUGCCUAGCUCUCCAUCACUUUGCCUUUACCCUUAGCUUUAGAAGAUUCACCACCCUUUUUAACUAAUAACCAUGUAACACAAGAGAUUUUCCACAAAAAUAAGAGUUGAUAGGAUGUAAAAUACAUACUUUAAAUAAAUAAAUAAAUAAAAUAUGAGAAGAUGGGUAGAGACUUCCUUAAACUCAAACCCUUCCAAACACCCAAAAACCUCCACCUUUAUCCUUGAAGAACAUAGAUAUUUUUUUUCUUUCAUGGAACUUUUUAAAAGAAAAAAAAAACUAGAUCAAGACCCUUACCUUCUUUGAGAUUUGGAGGAUAAAAAAAUGGUGAGAACUCACUCAAAUCUCCCUCCGUCUACAUGACUUGCUAAGGAAAAAAUAGAUGGAGAAAAGAAGAAGAACAAAUGAAGAAAUAUAAAAAGAAAAAAACAAUAAGGUGAUUAUAAUAUAGGGAAAAAUAGGGACAAAUCCACUUUAUCCCAUACCUCAAUCUACCAAACCAACUUUUCCCAUUAAUUGGGAGAAGAUUUUUAUUCAAAAAUGGUAAAAUCACCAUAUUAGCUAUCCAUCUUCCCCUACUUCACACAAGCUUCCCAACAUCCUUAAUUUCUUAUAAAAAGGUCCAAAAUUCACCCAAAUUAAUUCCAACAAAAACCCAAUCCUAAAAUAAAUUUAUCCAUUGCCAACCCAAGUUAACACUCGAACGUUGACUCGAGAAUUUGGGGUCGUUACAACUUUCCCCUCCUUAAAAAAAUUUCGUCCUCGAAAUUUACAUAAAUAAAAAAGGUGCGGAUACUGUAAUUUCAUGGACUCCUCUAGCUCCCAUGUCGCCUCCUCAACUCCAUGAUUCCUUCACAGGGCCUUCACUUAGAAGAUUUUCUUGUUCCUAAUUUCUUUAAUAUUUCAGGCCAAAAUCUGAAUAGGCUUUUCUUCAUAUGACAAGUCUGGGCUCACUUCAAUCUGCUCAAGCAGUAAGAUAUAAGAAGGAUCAGAAUGAUACCUCUUAAGCAUGGAUGCGUGGAACACAUUAUGAAUACGUUCUAACUCUAGUGGCAAGGCUAAUCGAUAUGCCACUGGUCCAACUUUCUCUAUAACUUCAUAAGGUCCAAUGAACCUGGGACUCAAUUUCCCUUUGCAUCCAAAGCGUAAAACUUUCUUCCAAGGUGAAACCUUAAGGUAGACCUUGUCGCCCACUGCAAACUCUAUGUCUUUACGCUUCAAAUCUGCAUAUGACUUCUGAUGAUCGAAAGCUACUCUCAGAUUGUCCUGGAUCAUCCGAACCUUAUCCUCAGUCUCCUUGACUAACUCCAAACCAACAAUCUUCCUCUCAUUAAGUUCUGUCCAACACAAAGGAGUCCUGCACUAACGACCAUAGAAUACCUCAAAAGGGUCAUCUGAAUGCUAGACUGAUAACUAUUUUUGUAUGUGAACUCGACCAAGGGAAGGUGCUCUUCCCAACCUCCUUAAAACUCAAUGAUACAACAACGAAGCAUAUCCUCGAGAAUUUGAAUGACUCGCUCUGAUUGACCAUCAGUCUGCGGAUGAAAAGCUGUACUGAAGUGCUGGCAUGUACCUAACGCCUCAUGAGGAGUUCUCCAAAAUCUUGAAGUGAAACGCAGAUCUCUGUCUGAAAUAAUCGAAGUCGGCACCCCGUGAAGCCUCACUAUCUCACCAAUAUACAAUUUGGCCAACUUCUCGAGAGUGAAGUCCAUGCGUAUUGGUAGGAAAUGUGCAGUCUUCAUCAAUCUAUCCACGAUUACCCAAAUUAUGUCGUGUUUACACCAAGACAUAGGUAACCCAGUCACAAAAUCCAUAGUGAAUCUAUCCCAUUUCCACUGCGGAAUCUGGAUAGGCUGAAGAAGACCUGAAGGAACUUGAUGUUCUGCCUUCACCUACUGACAAGCUAAGCAUUAAGUCACAAACUCUAACAUAUCUCUCUUCAUCCUUGACCACCAAUAAAAUGGACAAAGCUCCUGAUACAUCUUGUUACUACCUGGGUACAUAGUAAACGGACUACUAUGUGCCUCAAGAAGAAUCUUAUUCCUUAGUUCAUCUGCUGGAACACAAAUAGUUCAUCUGUUGGAACACAAAGUCGCCCUCUAAAAUACAAUACAUCGCCAUCUUGUAAUUUGAAGCCUGAUACUUCUCCUAGCCUCGCCCUAUCUACUUUGACAACCAAACUAUCAUCAGACUUCUACGCCUCUUUUACCUCUAGCACCAACAUCGGUUCAACCUGAAGCUCAGCUAAUAAACCACCAUGCUCUAACAAGCUCAAAUUCACAAACAUCGCUCGCUAAUAAACCACCUGAGACUCUAUGGUGUGUAGGGCUGGCUGGGCAUUGAACACCCUUAAUGGUAUGUUGGGAUGGUCGAAGAUGGUUUGUAGAGGUUGGGGGUAGGAAAACCUGCAUGUGAAACUGAUUUGUUCUGUAAAUGAAACUGAAACUACUUUUUCUUCUGUAAUUGAACUGUUCUGUAUCUCAAUUGGACGCUACGGGAGCUCGGUCAAGCUUUUAUCAUUCGUUUAAAUACUACUUUAGGAAUUUCGGUAAACUAUGAUUAUAUGACUUUCGGAAGAUUAUAUACUUAACUAAUCUUUGUGAUGGCUAUUAUGCGACAGAUAGUUUUGUUUUAUUGCGUUAUAUAUGUGGUAUUUUAGUAUCGAUGAUGAAAACCUCUAGACUUGGGCUGGACGUCUAAGCCGGGUUUAGGGUGUUACAAAUUUACUUUAUUAAAAAUGAUAUUUUAGUCGUUACUCAAUUGAGUUGGUGCUCGAUUGACUUAUGGCAUAAACUCGAUCAAUGACUUAUUAUAUACUAGAUUAUGAUUUAUGACACACUUAAGAUGUGAGUUUACAAAUAUAUUUAUUACAAGUUCAUAUGAAACCAAAUGAUACUUUAGUUUAAGUGAUUACAUUAAAUAUUUAAAACUUAUUACAUUGUAAAUUAACUCAUGACAUCGACUUAGUAUAAAUAUUAAAAUUUUAAAUUUUAAAUUUAAUUAGACUAAAAUUUAUAUUUAAAUCAGGAUGAGAUUCAAUGGGAAAAAUCAUAGUCUUCAUGAAUCUAGACUCCAAACAUUAGACUUAAUGAUUCGUAUAUUCCAAUCAUAUUUGUAUAUUUUAUCAUAUCAUAAUUAUAUUUAAAAUAUUUUAUAGUUAUAAAAAAUUAAUACAUUAAUAAUUUAUAUGUAUAAGUUUUGAAAUAUUCAUAUAUCUAUAUCCUAUUUUAUUUCGUAUUUUUAAUUAUCGUUACAUAGCAAAGCUAAAAAAAAUAGGUAACAUAUAAAUAUUUUUACCAAAAAAACAAAAUGUGUUAAAAUAUUUUAAAACGAGGGGGUGAAGGAAUAAAGAUGUCGAGAAUAAAGGGGCCGCAGGAAAAAAGAAAGAAAAGAGUUUAGUACAUGUUGGUCAAUGAUCGAAGUUGAUGCAAUUAUUUCUCUACUUUAUGUGAACCUUAAAUCAUUACGGUUUAUUUAUAUUAUUAUUAUAACCAUCAUGUGCUUGAUUGAAUUGUAUUAGUGUCAUUUAUUAAACAAAUCAUCACUCAAUUAUAAAAUUGUUUUUUUUUUAUGUUUUGAUAAAUUUAAGAAAAUACAUAUACGUGAUGAAAUCAUGAAUUUUGAACUCUAAACAUUAUACUAUCUUAAUUUAUUUCGAUUUUCUAUUAAUAUAAAAACACAUAAACGUUUAUAAUUUAGGAGACAUUUAGUUUAAGUCAUCAUAUGUUUUCAGGGAUAAUUUUAAAUUUUGACUUAACAUAUUCACAAAAAAAAAAAAAGUUUGGUUUUUAAAUAUUAUCUUAAAUCGAUAAUUUUACGUUCUCAAUAUUACUCAAGUUUUAGAUUAUAGAGGUAACCACAAUGAGAACUCCUCCUUGUUAAUAUAAGAUUUUUGGGUAAUCUUCAUUUCAUGAUAUUUUUAACUUUACUUAUCUAUAACGUUGGUCAACUUUUAUCCUUUCAUUUUACGAAUUUUUAAUAAAAUUUAUAAAUUAUAUUAACCACAUUUAGAAAUUAUCUAAAAUGUUUUUUUAAUAAAAUUUAUAUGUAAUAAUAAAGUAAGUUGAGAUCAUGGGACGGAAAAAUUAAUAAUUAAUUAUAAUAAUACUAUGAUAAAUGUAAAGUUUAGGUUUUUGCGACAAAAAUGGUAAUACUAAGGUUUAGAGUCUAAUGAAAAACCCAUCAACUUUCAUAGCAAUAUCUUCCAUUAAUGUCCCAUUAAUGUUGAAGGAAGUAAAUUUAUUUAAAAUUAUAUAUAUAUAAUAAAAGCAGAUUAGUAAAAUAUGUUUUUUUAGAUAAUUUUGUCUUCCAUUACAUUGUUUAGAUUGUUAAUAUUUUGGACAUUCUGUACUAUCAUAUUACAAAAUAGUAUUAAGAUGUCAUAAUAUAGGGUAUAAUAUUAUUACGGUUCAUUCCUUAGGUUACAUUAGAUAAUGGGCAUAAUCUUAAAUUCUAGAUCAAUUUGCCCUUUAUUUUUGUUAUUUUAAUUAAUUUAGACUUUUUUCCUAACUUAAAUUUAAUACUAAUUAAAAAUAAAAAAAAUAUUUUUUUCUUAAUAUUAAACCAAUUACAAUUAUAAUUAUUAUAAUUUAUUUGAUAUUUUUUUUAUUAAUAUAUUGAUUAUAAUUAUGAUUAGUGUUACAAUCACUUUUUAUGAAAUAUUAUAAUUAUGAUUUAUAAAUUUAUUUUUAACAUUGUAUAUUUACUUAUUAAUAUAUAAAGUGUAAUAAGAAGUGAAGAUUGUAAUAAUUUAUCAUAAUUUCAUGAAAAUCAUAGAUUAAAGAAGAUUAAAGGAACUAAAUUUGUUUUUUUUUUAAACAAACUCUAUAACAAGAAUAAUUGAAUAGAUAGUGUUUUUAAGUAAUUUUCCAUUCCAUGAACCAAACAUUUAAAUUUUACAUACCAGACAAAUAAGCCACAUAAGAUAAUUUCAAAUUUCACAUAUAACCUUACAUUCAUGUAAUCUUAUUGCGGACAUAGUUUAAUAUUCAAAUUAACUAAUCACGUCUAAAUUAUUUUCUUCAAGAUAAAAGUUGUUAUAAAAUAACCUCUUUUUAUCUCACAUAAAAUCUUAUUCUAAAAUCUCAAUAUUUGAUGUAAUUAUAAGUCAAGAUUAUAAUUUAAAACAAUACACUUUUUUAUUUUUUAAUUUAAAUUAAUUGUAUUUAAAAAUGUGUAGGUAAGGUCAUCUCACUUUUUCUAAAUUUUUUUAAAAAAAUAUUUAGUUAAAUAAUAAAUACUUUAAUUACUCCACCCACAUUAUCGGUAGGCGUAGGGCUAGGAAUAGUAAACAUAGACUUCCACAAUUUCCAUCUCCACAAAGCUUCUCCAUUCAUAAACACUUGUAUUACUGUUUUCCUGUCAGCUUUUUUCUCUACAUCUUGUAAGUUCAAAAGUUUUCGCAUUUGCCAUUAAUGAUUAUGUUUGCUGUUUUCUUUUUAAAUUUAUUUUUGAUUAAUUGAUGCCAUUUUAUGAUCUGGGUAUUUCAUUGUUCUUAUUUUUUGUCUCUGUUAAAAAUGAAUGAAUUUCGACUGUUGUAGGAUGAAAUGUGAUUUAAACGAUUUGUUUAAUUCGUGAGUUGUUUUGAUGUUUUCUGAUUUAGCAAUUUAAUAUAAUGAUUGAUUUUGACAUAAUUUAAUUGUCAUUUCUCAUAUACUUAUAACAGCGUCGUGACAUUUUCGAUAAUAUCUGGAAUCAAGGGAGAGUUGUUGUUGAUAAAGCAAUAAACUUAGGUAUCUUUUCUUUGUUCGUUAAACAUUAAUGGCAAACAUUGAUUUUAGGGAAUAAAAUAAAUAAUUUAGACUUUAUUAAAAAAUAAAUUAAUUCUUGUACAAUCUAUUUCUACUAUUAUAAACUGGUAUUUUUACGUUAGCGCGAGAUACAAUUAGGUCUUGUACAAUCCACUUCUACUAUUAUAAACUCGUAUUAUAAAUUGGUAUUUUUACGUUAGCAUGAGAUACCAAUUUUUAAUGAUAGAAAUUGAAGAAAAUUUUUAAAAGAAAGAAUUAAUUUGUUUUUUGAUCUAAUACUCAAGAAUUAAUUUACCCAUUUUUUUGAAUUAAAAAAAAUAUAAUGUGAAUAUAAAGUUCUCUAUAAAAAUUUUACCAAAUCUUGUUUUAUAGUUCAUUGUCCUAUUUUUUUUUAUAGAAAAUGAAAGCGCUAGAAUAUGAUAAAUUCAAGUUUAAACUUGACAAACCAAAACAUAAAAAAGAGAAACCCAUAAUUUUUAUUAUUGUUUAUAUAUCUCUAUUGUUUGGUUAUUUUUGGAUUUUUUUUCUUGUUUGGUUAUUUUUGGAUUUUUUUUCAUGUUUGUUUUAUGUUUGCAAAUUCUAUGUUUAGGGUAUUUUGCCAAAGUUUUCUGAAUUUAGAUUGUAUAUAUAUUUUUUGUAGAAUUGGUUUUGGAAUGGCAACUUACAAGCCAAGGAACAUCCUAAUUACUGGGGCUGCUGGGUUUAUUGCAUCUCAUGUUGCAAACAGACUCAUUCGGAACUACCCGAAUUACAAGAUUGUCGCUCUCGACAAGCUCGAUUACUGCUCGAACUUAAAAAACCUUAAUCCAUCUAAGUCAUCUCCGAACUUUAAGUUUGUGGAAGGGGAUAUUGGUAGUGCUGAUCUUGUUAAUUACCUCCUCUUUACGGAGUCUAUCGACACGAUAAUGCAUUUUGCGGCCCAAACUCAUGUCGAUAACUCGUUCGGGAAUAGCUUCGAGUUCACUAAAAACAAUAUCUAUGGUACUCAUGUCUUGCUUGAAGCUUGCAAAGUCACUGGUCAAAUCAAGAGGUUCAUCCAUGUGAGUACUGAUGAGGUUUACGGGGAAACAGAUGAGGAUGCUGUUGUGGGAAACCAUGAGGCUUCUCAACUUCUCCCGUCGAACCCGUACUCCGCUACAAAAGCCGGUGCUGAAAUGCUUGUGAUGGCAUAUGGUAGAUCAUAUGGCUUGCCUGUGAUAACGACUCGAGGAAACAACGUUUACGGCCCGAACCAGUUCCCUGAGAAACUAAUUCCGAAGUUCAUCCUCUUAGCGAUGAGGGGAAUGGUUCUUCCAAUUCACGGGGACGGUUCGAAUGUGAGGAGUUAUUUGUAUUGUGAGGAUGUGGCUGAGGCCUUUGAAGUCAUACUUCAUAGGGGCGAAGUUGGACAUGUUUAUAACAUCGGGACAAAGAAAGAAAGGAGAGUGAUUGAUGUAGCCAAAGAUAUAUGCAAACUAUUCUUGAUGGAUCCAGAGAAAAGUAUUGAGUUUGUCGAGAAUCGACCAUUCAAUGACCAAAGGUAUUUUCUCGACGAUCAGAAACUAAAGAACUUGGGAUGGUCCGAACGAGUCAUAUGGGAAGAGGGGCUGAAAAAGACAAUAGAUUGGUACACCAAACAUCCUAAUUGGUGGGGUGAUGUUUCCGGUGCAUUGCUCCCUCACCCGAGAAUGCUGAUGAUACCGGGUGGACGGCACUUUGAUUUCGAAGAACUGAACCGUAUGUCACAUGUAAAUGAUCCUAAAUUGCCAAAUGGCAAAUCCAAACUUUAAAUGCAAUGAUUCUCCUUCAAAACCAUCACUACGUCCACCAUUGAUCUCUGUUGAUCAAGCCACGAAAGCACAUCUUCUAGUUACAGUGAUCAAUUUUCACGACUGCAGAUAACUAUCACCGCAACAAAAAAUUCGAAGCCCUUUACCCAAACCGCCAAAGAAAAUGUAUGAGCCUUAGCUCAAUUAUCUGAUGAGCAUUAUUUAAAACAAGUAUUGCAAGCAAUCAAUUUUUGAACAUGUACACCAGCUCAAUUAUUGAUAUAUAUCAUUUAUUAUAUUUAUUUUUUUUGAGAAGUCACUUUAAUUGAUAAAUUUUUUUUUUACAAUCAUAAUUUAAUGUUAUGCUGUUUAAUUAACAAGAAUGACGUUACCAUACAUCACAAUUAAUUCCAUUUAAGGAGAUUAAAUAGGUUUUUUUUUUAAAUUAAGAGUUUUUUAAAUUAGCAAAAGAGUUCAAAACCUCUCUUUAAAAUAUCAAUUAAAAACAUAUUAAGUUUUUUUUAUAUUUAUUUUUAGAAUUAUAAAUUAUAAUAGUUAAUGUUUUAAAUAAUUAUAAAACUUUUAAAAAUAUAAUAAUAUCCAAUAAUGUUGGAUUAGAGGUGUCCAUGGGCCGGGCCGGGCCGGGCCCAAGAAAAAAAUCGGCCCGGCCCAAAACAUGGGCCUAAAAUUUUACCCAGACCCAGCCCGGCCCAUUUUUUAAUAAACAUUAAAAAUUAUUUUAAAAUUAAAAAAUAAAAAAUAAAAAAAAAUAUUUAUUAUAUUCGGGCCGGGCCGGGCCAAAAAAGUGGUGCCUGAGGCCCGGCCCAUUUUUUAAACGGGCCUCGUUUUUUUGCCCAUGCUCAUAUUUCGAGCCUAUAUUUUUACCCAAACCCUCCCAUAUUUCGGGUGGGCCGUCGGGCCGGGCCGGGCCACCCGGCCCAUGGACAGGUCUAUGUUGGAUAACUUGUAUUGUUCAAUAAAAGGAGUCAGCAGAAGUGACUUUGUAAGGGUCAAUUCCUGAUACCCAAUUGGAAUUUAGAUUCUUAUAAAUGUGACAAAAUGAUUAAAUAUGAGUGUUUGGCUACUGUGCUGAGUCUCCAUAGCGUGUCUUAUUUGAAUAAACUUUUGUUUCUUUUUUAAUUAAUACUUUUUCAAUCUACAGUGGUAAAGCGAUGGUUGGCAGGCGCGAGUUCCUAAAAUGAAAAUUUUUUUAUUUUUAUUUUUUUUAUAAUUUAUAAAAUUUAAAUUAAUAAUGAUAAAACUAUACUUCAACAUUUAAAAAUGACAAAAAAUAAUUUAAUUUUUUAAAACUUGUAAAAAUAUAAAUUAUUAAAACGAUGAAAUUAUAUAUUUAUUAUUGUAAAAAUAUACAAUUUAAUUUUAAUUAAAAAAUAUAUAAAAAAUUAUUCAAUAAAACUUUUCUUGACACAGUUGACAAGGAGAUCUAAGAAAUAUGUGAAGAAUAUUUUUUAAUAAAAAGUAUUUUAAUUAAUAAAAACUAUAAAAGACAAUUAAUACUUAAAAUUGGCAUAAAUGUAGACUACUUUCAAACACUGCAAAUUUCUCAAUCAAAGACAGCUAUCAUUUAAUUCUCAAUAAUUGCAUCCAAAACCGUUAGCUCACUUCGACGAUAAAUUUAUUUUAAAUUUAUGGGUAAAUUAUUUAGUUGGUCAUUGGAUUUUUAGUAUUUUUAUUUUGGUUACCCGAAAUGAAAUCUUUAUAAUUUGAUCAUCUAACUUGUAGGCCACUUUCAUUUUAAUCACCUAAGCAUUAAAUAUCUGUUUAUCUCAUUGCUAAAAUUCUAUUUUUUUUAAUAUUGAAAUUUUAAAUUUCAAAAUAUCAAAAUAAAUUGAAUAAAUUGUUGAAUUUUUUUUAUCCAUUGUUAAUAUCAACUUACUUGUUACUAUAAUAUUAAAAUUAAUUAAUUUAAUAUCCUUUUAAAUUUUUAUUUUAUGUUUUCAGAUUAUACUUAAUGAAAUCAACUCAUAUUUAAUAAUUGUCUACGAAACUUAAAUUUCUUUUAAUUAUAUAUGUCGAAACCGUUUUUUGAAAACAAAAAUUUUGGUUGUCGACUUUAAAAAAUAAAACUGUAGUCACCACCGAUCCUUUAUUAAGGUGUGAUCGGCUCACCUUAAAAAUUAUUUUGGUCUACAAAUUUUGAGAAAACAAGUCCGGUAGUCAGUUACGCACGAGGAAGGGUUAGCACCCUCGUAACGCCCAAAAUCGGUACCAAAUUGAUCAUUUAAUGUCAUAGUGUCGAAGGUUAAAAAGAUUUUAAAAUCAACUCAAAUGAUGAAAUUUGAAAAAGGAUAAUCAAUUGUUCAAGUCAUGUAAAGAAAUCGAGUCCCAAUACGUUAGGGUACAAUUCCUCAUAAUCCCCGAACUUUGAAUAUCACUUUUAUUUUAUGUGAAAAUCUUCAUUCUGAGAAAGUAACAUGCCACACCCAAUGCGUUAGGACACAGCAAGUUAAGUUCCUAAAAAUAAUUUUUAUACUCAUGCAUUUUGAAUAAAGAAUAUCCUCGGUUAUUUAAGAUUAACAAAGAAAAUCAGAACCCAAUACGUUAAGGCUCAAUUUCCCUCAAAAAUCCCAAACUUCGAAUAUUGCUUUUAUUCAAAAAAAAAACCUUUGAAACAAGAGAAAAUAAUUUUGAUAUACUGACAAAAACCAAAAUAUACUCUCCCAAAAGGUAUGUUAAAAGCUAAUAUAUAAUAUGUAACAAAAGCUUUAAUUUAAAACAUAUAUGAAUAUGUAUUUACAAAAUAUAUGUAUACAAGUACAAUAUACAAGUAAAUUUACAAAUAUGUAUACGCAUAUAUUUAACACACAUAUACAAUGAUACAUAUAGAAAGAUAGAAUGGAAUAUAUCAAUCAAAAUCUAAUAAAAAUGCAUGUAUGUAUUUGAAAAUCGUGAAAAUAAAAUAAAAAUAUAAAAGUAUGUACAUGUGUAUAUAUUUACAAAAUAAAAAAAAAUGUAUAAGUAUAUGCAUUGGUAAAUCAUGAAUAUACGUACAUGCAUAUUAAAAUACUUAUAUAUAUAUAAUAUGUAUAAAUAACGGAGUAUAUAUAGAAUAAAAAUAACUCAAAAAUAUGAAAAUCGUAUAUAUAUAUAAUAUAAAAAAUGUGUAUUUUGAAUUGUAAAAUAUGGGAAACAUGUGUGGAUUUUAAAAUGUGCAUGUAUAUCUAUAUCUAUAUAUAUAUAUACACAUUUGUAAAAUAAAGAAAAAAAUAAUAUACAUAAAAAAAAUAGAAAUAUACGAAUAUAUACAUAUUUACAAAAGUAAAAAAAAAUUGAAAUUAAAAUAUAAAAGUAUAUAUAUAAUGUUUGUAUGUACAAAAAUAUAUGUAUGUAUUUAUAAAAUUUUUUAAAAAAAUGUAUGUAUAUGUAUUACUUUAAAAAACAUGCGUAUGUAUAUAUAGCAGUAGUAAUAAUAAUAAUAAUAAAAAUGAUGAUGAUGAUAAUAAUAAUAAUAAUAAUAAUAAUAAUAAAUGGGGACUAAAUCAAAAUUAAACAGAAUUUUAAGGUCAAACUUAAAAAUAAAAAAACAAAAAAAAAGCUAAAUCAUAUUGCGCAUGAAAGGGGAAGGACCAAAGAAAGAAAUAUCCCCGCGCUGGCAAAAACGGCGCCGUUCCAGUGGGCGCAUGCACAUGGUUCCUGGACCAGAUUGAAACAUGAAAUAAAUUUCGUGGCUAAAUUGUAAAUGCGUAAAGUACUGCAUUUAAAUCAAAAAUAAAAACGGGGGACCAAAAUCGGAAAUUUCCCAUUCAAGGCCAGAACGCGCGGAUCCUCCCCUCGGGUCGGGUCACCGCGGGGGUCUGGCCACUUUAAACGGCGCCGUUUUACCUUUUGUUUUAAAUUAAAUUAAAACAAACAGAGAAAGAAUUAGGGAAAAAUCUGUUUUCCCUUUCCCUGAAGCAGACAGCUUCUUUAGGGUUUUAUCAACCCUUCAGCGCCGCUUUUUCAAGAACCUUCAGCUUCUUUAGGAAUAAAAGGGUCCUAGCCUCCGAUCGUGACUGAGAAUGGAGCAGAACGCGAUAAGACCGGGUAAGUCUUCCUUCUCCCCUUUUAUUCCUGUUAAGAAAUAAAAUAUGUAAAAAAAUAAAAAAACUGGAUUCACCUUCGAAAAACAAAAAAAGUCUUUGUAUUCUCAGUCUUUCUCUCUAUUUUCGUCUUUCUUUACACUCAAAAGUCCCCCCCCCCAUUUACAGAUUAAAAAUCGGGCUUUUAUAGCCGAAAUAGAAAAGAAGAAAAUCUAAAAAUCAAAGAUCAAUCUAUCCUGUUGUUUAUCCGUAUUUUGUUGCCCGAUUUUUGCCCUGCGACUCCGAGUCUUGCGGAGGUGCGCAAAGAGGGCAGUAGUUGCGGCGGCUAAGGCUGUUAGGGUUUCUGAAAUUCUGCUGUUUUUUCGUCUUUACACUCAAAAGUCCCCCCCCCCUUUACAGAAUAAAAAUCGGGCUUUUACUAAAAAUCAAAGAUCAAUCUAUCCUGUUGUUUAUCCGUAUUUUGUUGCCCGAUUUUUGCCCUUCUGUUUUGUGUUUGUUGCUGCAGGUACUGCUGAAGGUGUGUGCGCGACGUUUGCGGAGGUGCGCGAGGAGUGCGACUCCGAGUCUUGCGGAGGUGCGCGAGGAGUGCGACUCCGAGUCUUGCGGAAAUUCUGCUGUUUUUUUGGUAUUCCAUGCUAAGCUAAAAGUAAAGGGAAAAAAUAGUUGUAAUUAAUUAAAUUAAUUGUUUGCUCUUCGUAUGAGUAAAGAAGUGAUGAAAUUUAUUUGAGUUUUGUUUGGAAUGAAAGAUAAAAUUAAUUGCAAGGAUAUUUUUAUUUACUUUUAGCUUAGCAGGGAAGAUUCAAAAUCAUAUAAUCAAAAGAAUUUGGGUUUUGUAGACAACUAUUAGGGACUUUUAUCGAUAAUUUUUGAAAAUAAAUUCAAAACAUCAAAAUAAAUAACUUGUUGAAAUUUUUUUAUCCAUUGAUAAUAUCAACUGAUUUGCUAUUAUAAUUUUAACUCUUGAUAUUUAUAAUUUUAUAUUUCAAAACCCAAAUUUAGAAUUUUCAACAAUGUACAAACUGACAAUUUUUGUGUAUUAUUUUAGUUUCUACCAUUUUUUUGUACUUAAAUUUUUAUUUUUUAUUUACCUCAAUCAAUACUUAAAAAAGAUAAUUUUUUGGGUGACUAAAAUAAAAACAACUUAAAAUUUAGGUAACCAAAAUGGAAGUACAGACAUGAUGUGGCAUGUAUAGUUAACAAAUGUUAAAAAUUU